rnacentral:lncRNA from 1 species
GUCAAUCCUUCCCCUCUCAUUUGAUAUCUUCUCGUAUUACUUUCCUCUUUUCUUCGUCGCCCGACAGAAAGGGUCGGCGGCAACAUUUCCUCAUAUGUCUCUGUUUCCGACGGAGCUCAGGCCCUUUUUCCCGCCACACAGACUCACUUCCAACGCCAAAUUCCGCGAUUAUCCAUACUUCUCUCCCCCUUUUGUCCUCUAGUUUCUCUCAAUUUUUCUUUAGCUCUCUCCCACCCCACCCGAGUCUGGUAUUUCUUCCCACUUUUUUUUUCUGGAUUUGGUGCCAAUUAGUUCGGGUUUGAUUGCUGGAGGAAUCAAGCUUUAGUGAUCAAAUGACCAGUUGAUGAAGCUUUCUGUGAUUUCAGCUUCAAUUUGGUGUGACUUCUGCCUUCUUACUUUUUCCCUAUUGGAGGUUACUAUUUGUUAGGUCGUUUUUUCCCCUUGCUGCUUCAUGAAUCAAUCCGUUUGUUUGUUUUCAAAUUGUUAUGUAGAUUGAAUUCUGUUGUGGAUCGAGAUUUUGUGGCUGAAAGACUGUUGAAGAUCUUCUAGCUUCGAAUUAGGGUUUUGAUGCGCUUGAUUUCCUUGUGUAUGAAUUUUUGUUGUUGCUGCUGCAUGUUUGAUCUAUGUCGCUGAAUCUAUUUAAGCUGGUUGGAUGAACCCUAAUGAUUUAGGAAAGGGUGAUCCUGAUUUCUCUUUCUGAUUCUUUUCCAUAAUGUUUGUCGAGUUUUCAGGUUGCUAUUUCCAUAGGAUCCUCUGUUUUUUUGCAGGGUAGAGUCUAAGUAAACAUCUUUGGGUAUUAGCAGGGAGCCAUAUUUGGUUGUGCUGGGGUUGCUUCACGGGCUUGCUACAGGGGGUCAACAGUAUGUUGCCCUUGUGAUAUUCCCGCUUUUUCAGCAGUAUAUAUUUUUCCGCGAGGUUGUGUUAUAGAAGGUGAAGCUACUACACAUCAUUCUUUUGCGGGUUGAAGAGGAUGUACCACUGUUCGUUGUUGGCUUCCCCUCAUCAUUGUAUCAUUCUGCUUGAAUCUGAUUGACAGAUAUUGUCCUAGAUGAAAGGUGAUGGAGGCGGGGAUGGAGGUGGUCCAGCUAUAGAACUAAAUAACCAGCUGUCCAAUGUAGAAAAGAUGGUAAUUGAGGAUGGAGUUGUGAGUAAGGACAAAAAAUUAGUUGAAGUUGAUGUGAGAGAUCGUCUUGGAGGGGCUGUUCAGGUCGCACUUCCAAUCCAACAGCAAUCUCAAGGGACAACAGUUUGCUGGGAAAGGUUUCUUCAUCUCAGAACCCUCAAGGUUCUGCUGGUGGAAAAUGACGAUUCAACCCGCUUUGUUGUCUCCGCUCUGCUGCGUAACUGCAGCUAUGAAGGUUUGUCGCAUGAGAUUCUUCUCCUUCCUUUAGAUGUUUAUAGAUAAUGAAGUGUGCAAUACUAUCCUGAAAAUUUGUGUUUCAGUUUCAAACCAGGAUUAGAGUUUUAUCCUUUCAGAAUGCGUUUGUGGAACUUGAUAUUUACAAAGAUCACGUGAGGAACUUAGAAAUGUACUUGGUUCAGAAAAUGGCUUGUUUUUCUUUUUUGGAAAAUAUCAUUUUUUUAAUUCUAGUACUAUAAAUGUUAAAGCUUUACAUAACCUGAGAGGUACCUUUUGCAUGAUGAUAUUAGUUACUUCUCUGUUCUCUGUUUUGUGCACGCCAGUAAUUGAAGCCUCAAAUGGAGUACAAGCUUGGAAGAUACUCGAGGACUUGGCCAAUCAUGUUGACAUUGUCUUGACUGAAGUGGUCAUGCCUUUUGUAUCUGGCGUUGGGCUUUUGUGCAAGAUUAUGUCCCACAAAACGCGCAAGAAUGUCCCUGUAAUCAGUAAGUUUCUUAUUGGUUGUUCUGUUACAAAAAAAGAGAAUGUUCUUUCAUGUGGCACAAGGUUAUGCCUAGCUGUUGAAAGUAUCUUCUAACUCUCUUUCUUGAUGAUAUAUCUGCAGUGAUGUCUUCCCACGACUCAAUGGGUUUGGUAUUUAAGUGCCUGUCAAAGGGAGCUGUUGAUUUUUUAGUCAAACCCAUACGAAAGAAUGAGCUUAAGAUCCUUUGGCAGCAUGUUUGGAGAAGAUGCCAUAGUGUAAGUAGUUCCACUUCAAGAUAUUAGGACCUGCAAUGUUUUUAUUCCUUCCAGGCAGCCUUAUCAAGCUUUAGUUCCAUUCAGGAGCUUGCGUCUCUACCUUCUACCAUGAUAUUCUUCAUAAUCUUUAGUUUCCACUCAUGCGGAGUGGUAUUGCUGUGUUCAGAAUGACUCAAUAGGUCUCUACUUUCGGGCUGAGUAAUUAAAAUGCUUUAUUUUCUCAGUCUAGCGGCAGUGGAAGUGAAAGUGGCAGUGUAACUCAAACUCAAAAGUCAGUAAGAUCAAAAAAGGUUGAGAAGUCCAACAAUAACAGCAGCAGCAAUGAUGAGGAUAUUGAUGGUAGCUUUGGUCCGAAUGUUGGUGACGGAAGCGAUGAUGGGAGUGGUACACAGGUAUACAAUAAGUUCUCUUUUCAAAGAAGUUUUAGUAUCCUAGCUGUGAUGAGCUUCUGAACUUGAGGUGGAAAUGAUUUAUAAAAAUAAGUUCCUGACCAUUUUGCAGAGUUCUUGGACAAAGCAAGACGUCGAGGUGGAGAGCCCUCGUGCUUUGCCUCAAUGGCAGCAAGUUUCUGAUUGUCCUGAUAGUACUUGUGCCCAAGUCAUUAAUUCAAAUGGUGAAGUAUCUGGUAACAAACAAGUUCAUGCGUCUAAAGGAAAGGAACAUCAAGAGGAGCAACGACUGGGUAUGACAUAUGUCUUCAUCUAUAUGAAUAGCUGUUGUCUUUGUUCCCGGGACUAUUUUGUAUUUCCGCUCUUCCGUUUUUGCGGCAGCCACCAUCCUAAUACUUGUGAUGGUGUGUUUAUUCUUACAGACAUUUCCGCUAUUGACAAAGAUUUUGGAAUUGGAGCACCACAGAAGCCUGACUUGCAACUCAACUUUGCAACUGGAGAUCCAAAGAACCUUGCAGGGAUCAGACAAAGUCAUCUGCUUGAACAAGGGGGUCCCGGAUUUGAUGAGCACGAAGAUAAGGGAUUCAUCAGUAUAAAUAGUGCAAAUAAUUUGCAAGGUGAAGCCGGAAGAGCAGUUGUAUUCACUCUUAAUGCUGCUGAAUCAUGUAUGGACAGUGCAAAAGUUAAGAUCUCAGACUCCAUAGUCAAGGCUAGUACUGACCCUAAGGGAGCAUGCUUUGACGUAUGUUUGAAGAGAGUUAGAGGAGCCAAGGAUGUUAAUAAGAGUAAUCAGGACGAACGAAAUGUUCUAAGGCGUUCGGACUUCUCAGCCUUCUCAAGGUAAAAACAUCCUGGAAUUACCCAAAUAUGGGUUUAAAUACCCUGUUGGAUUAUGUUUGUGUUGUCAAGAUCCUGAAAUGCUUCAUCUUCUUCCUUGAACUUUUCAGGUAUAAUGCAGCUUCGAAUUCAAACAAGAUUUCUGGAGGAAACACUCAGAGUGGUCCUCCUGUUGUUACGAGUUUUGAUGAUGUCAGAAAGGGGGCAUUCCAUGAUCGCCGCUCUAACUCAAUUAACAAUACUCCUAGCCGUCGUUCAAAUGUGGAUUGCAACACUGUUGACAUGGGCUCCACAACGAAUAAUACUUUUCUCAAGUCAGCGGUUCUGAAAAACAAAUCUGGAGUAACAUCGAUGGUCAGAUACACUCACGCCCCAUCUUCCAGCCAGCCUACAGAAGGCAUUACGAAAUCCAUUUCUCCUCAUCAAGUUGUCUCAGAAAAAGCUGACGAUUUAGCAGCAACGGCUACUACACUGGUUCAACCAAGUGAUGCCCACAUGGAGCUCCCAAAUCAGCACCAUCAUCCCCAACCAGCUAAGCAUGAUGAUUCAGCAUCAAAGAAGAUGAUGACACCACAUAAUGGAUCAUCCAAUGCCCUAGGUGGUGGCCCUUUUGAAGGCAAUGCUUGCAAUUGCAGCAUCAAUGGAAGUGCCUCGGGCAGCAAUCAUGGGAGUAACCAUGGUAGUAAUGGGAACAAUGGGAGUAGCCCGGCAGUUCAUGCUGGGGCAACUAACAUGGAGAGUGAUAAUGGAGUUGCUGGGAAGAGUGGAAGUGGGGGUGCUGAUGCGAGUGGGACCGGAGGAGGGAAUGGGAGCGACAAUGGCAGUGGUAGUGGCAGUGGAGACAAGCUAGAUCCAGAUAGGCUUUUACAAAGAGAAGCUGCUUUGGCCAAAUUCCGACUGAAGAGGAAAGAUCGAUGCUUCAGGAAAAAGGUUAAUGCUUUUUGCUUCAUUUACUAUUGUAUCAAUGUGGUUGCAAGAAUGGAUCAAUGUGGUUGCAAGGAUGGAUCAAUGUGGUUGCAAGGAUGGAUCAAUGUGGUUGCAAGGUUGGAUUGCAGGUCAUUUCCACAGGCAAGGCCUCUGAGUAUCUGUUUGUUUGUACUUUUGAUGAUGUUUCAGGUUCGGUACCAGAGCAGGAAGAAACUUGCCGAGCAGCGGCCACGUUUUCGGGGACAAUUUGUGCGGAAAGACGGUAAUGAAAGCAGUAGUCGAGCUACCGAUAGCUAACUGGAACUGAAAUAUGACCUGCUGUGGCAUCUUCCUAUGAUCACCAGCUGAAAGUGGUCUGUGAACUUGGUAAUGGUCGUGGAACUGAUGAACAUUGAACUGUGGUUUGAUUUUAAUACUGCGGCCAUGUUUUACUGUCUUCUGAAACCCCGCUCGAACCGCAUUGUUGUUUGUUUGUUGUGACCAAAACGUUCAAUAUGUAUAGUAACAUUUUGUUGUAUGCCCAGAUCUCAAAGAGCUGUUACAAUGCCCAUUGCCCACCUGGAUUCUGAUGUUACUUGUGCUAGGUUUAUCUUUCUUGUUUAGGUUUAUGUUUCCAUCUUUAAUGGGGAGAAGAGGCUUCUCAGUUUCCUUGCUGAGGGAGGCUACAUUGUUGUUGUUAUAUGGCUCCAUGAGUGUAUGAUUAGUUCCUCUUCGUUUGCUUAGGGACAAAUAGUGUUUUGUGUGUGUUUUUAAUUGUAUAUGUUUUGUGUACUCGGAGAAUUCUUACAAAUUGAAAAUUCCAACUUCUUCCAAAUAAACCAGUGGGUCGGUUUCGUUGCUUUCCUUUUUUUUUCAUAUUAAAUAAAAUAAUCUAACAUCCUUCCACUUAAAAAAACCACUCUUUUACCUCUCUUUUACCUCUCUUUUAUACUUCUACAGAACUUUUUAAGCGUGAUUAAAUAAAAAAUUAUGUAGGUAGUCAAGUUGAGAUCUAAAUUAUAAAAAUGACAAUUAUUGAGACUUACGGUGCGCCGUGCAUUGUAGGACGCGCCGAACCAAUUACCGGUACUUACAGUGCGCGGCGCACUGUAGGACGCGCCGCAGCAAUGACCUGUACUUAGUGCGCGAUUGUAUUAUUUGAUUUAUUUCACCAAAUCAAUUUUUUCCUUUAACUCCCAAACUUUUAUAUAAUUAUAAUUUAGUCACUCAAUUAGUUUAUGAAAUGUGGUUAAUUGAAACUCUAUUUUCAGUGCGUUAGGUUAAUGUCAGUUGGUUACGAAAUUGGUUAAAAUGCACUAAAUCAGUUAAGAUUUGAGCUCAAUUCGUAUCUAGGCUGAACUCGGGUUAACCGUAACAGAUUUUAAAUAUCCGCAAUCGUUCAAUUUAAAAUAUGUUACGUUUUAACCCGAGUUCAGCUCAGAUAUGGAUUGAGUUUAAAUUUUAACUGGUUUAAUGCAUUUUAACCAAUUUCAUAACCAAUAAACGUUAACCUAACGCACCGAAAAUCAAGUUUAAUCGCACUUCAUAAACUAAUUGAGUGACUAAAUUAUAAUUAUAUAAAAGUUUGGGAGUUAAAUUUUUCUCAUGCUUAUACUAUCCUCUAAUUCCAAAACUCCGUACAAAACGACAUGUGGUGUUCUUGGUGUUGGUCACCAAUAGUCAUAAGUCCAUAAAUGGACACCUUCGGAACUCAGGAGGGCAAUCAACAAAGAAACCAUCAAUCCGAAAGCACUCUGUCUCGAAAUGAUAUGUUUAAUUUAGGGUUUAGUAAAACUACGUACGUAUGACGAGGAAACAGGUACGAUACGAUGUCAUAAAACCGACAAGUGAGGAAAAUGUAUGAUGAAGAAGGUUGGUAGUGGCAGCACGUUUUGGGGACAUAAGGCAACUACCUGUCAUCUCCUUCAGGUAGGAAAGGAAAGGAACAAUCUUUCUCUUAUAAUUUUGUUUCAAUUUCUCCCCCAACCCAACCCCACGUGCUGCAGAGCCUCUCAGCUACCUCAAAAAUGAAACAACUUUCCCAACUAACUUUCCAAUCCCUAGAACCAACCCGCCUCCACUACUACAACUUUUGUCUCUUCUUUCUUUGUCAGUUGCCCAUUUAGCCUGUUUAAAUCCGACCCCAAUAGCCUUGUCAACUCCAUUUUGUUUAUGCAAUAGAAACUACAUACUCCUAACUUCACUGUUCCUGGUACUGGUAAAUGGUCUUUGUUCACAGAUUCUUUUAUUUCUAGCUGCAGCUAGUAUGUGCACCUGGAUUCGCUCACUUCGAACUCUCAAUUUUUGACAACUUUACAAAGGAAGUUGUCAAUCUGAAACCAAAACACCUUAGACAGUGGUAAUGUGUUCAGUUCCGAAAGACAAUUUCCGUUUCAAUUUUGACGCGUGCACCAAAUAUGAAAAGGAAAAGGUAAGCGAUGAAUACACGAGGUCUCACCAGAUCAUGGAACAGACCAACUCUCGCUUCGAACAUAUCAAGGCUAAUGAGUCCCAAUUUUUGUCCUAGGAAUAUCUUCCCAUCAAUCCAUUAUAUCCAUCCAUCUAGUGGAUCUGAGGUUGCUCCUUACAAUCCUUAACAUCUAUCUUCUCUCUCACACACAAUUCCAGGGCCCUCCAGUGCAAGUUAAUUAAAAACACACAGAGAUUCUCUUCCUUUAUUUUUCAUCUCUUUGACAAAAACUGUUAAAAGGGUUAGUUGGGAAGCUGGUUGAGAGACUGAGAGAGGGAGCUAACCUUGUAGAAGAGCAAACAAAGGUCCCAACUUUUUCUUUCUUGUGCAAACCCAUCAAAGUUUUUUCCUAUAUUGUUUCCCAUGGUACAUGUUUCCCCCUCCAUUCAGUACUAGAUCUUCUACCACUAAACCUUUGCUGAACUGAAGAGAAAAUUCCCCCCUUCAGGUUAGUUCUGGUUUCCCUUUACUUGUUUUUUUAGGUAAAAUCAUCGCUAGUAUAUAGAUCAAUGCUGAUAGUUCGUACAAAAUCGCCUAGCAAGUACAUGAGCAACCUUAUUUCGCUCUCUCCUAACAAAACAAGUAAAGGGAAAAGAGGUUGACAGUAGUAGUCUGUGUUUUUCAAGUGUUCUCAGCCUUUAAUGACUUCUGUUACCAUUUUUCUUUCUUUCUUUGUUAGCUUUCACUUAGUUGCGUGUUGGAUGCCUCUUUUCUGCACAUUUACUACUCUCCUCUCCCCAUUUCCUCCAGGUUCAAUUCCAAUAUUUUCCUCUCUUUUCUGUUUAGUACUGUCAUUUCUCCCAUCAGUCUCACCAUAAUGUGUUAAGAACUAGAGAAAUUUCUAGAAUGUAGAAUCCUGAAAGAAAUGAUUUACCCUCUUAGCAAGGCUAACCAAACAUUUUGAAAGUUUUGAUUUUUCCUCAUCUUCAGAAGUUGUGUUAGAUUUGUACUGGAUUUUGUUUGGUCCUUUCCUUUUCAGAUAUUUCAGCAAUGGAGAUGAAGGAAACAGAAAAAGUAGUGAUAGCAAAACCAGUACCUUCUAGGCCUACUAGCUCCACUUUUGGCUCUUCAAUAAUCCUCCCCUUGCAGCCUAAUUCCCAGGUGAAAAAGUUUUCACCUUUCUUCCAUUUCCAUUUUCAUGGCUCCAAUUCAUGAUUUCUGUUGUGACACAUAAAUUCCAGGAUGAAGGUUCUCCUCCCACCAACAUCAUUUACAAGCCACAGGCAAAGCUUGUCUCCAAGAGGACUGCUUCCCUCCUUGCAAAUAUGGUUAGUAAUUAAGCUUCAUUUUCUGCACUUGAUUAUAGCAGAAACCAUUAAUUACAAAUUUAAAGUAUAGGGGGUAAGGUAGUCAAAACUCGUGAUUUCAUGCGGAAUAAAUUUUUUUAAGUGAAAUCAUGAUCGUAGAUUGUCUAAGACAUUUAAGACAAAAUGCAUUAAGAAAACUAGAUCUUUUUGUAUACAGUUUACAGGAUAAGAAAAUAAAGUGGAUUUAACUCUUAUGUAGCUUCUGUAUGGAAUCAAGUCGUUAGACAUCAAUAAAAUCGUAAAACUGUAAGAUUUUUAAGAUUAAAAUCAAGAUUUUGACCACAUUAUUAUAUAGGGAAACAACUUCAACUCAACUUGCAAUCCGGAAUUAGACACGAGACCAAAUGCAAGCUCUAAUGAUGAUGUGGAAGAAGCAGCAGCAGUCCACCAGGGAACCGAAAGCAUCAGCUUCUUCAGUUCAAGGCGGUGGAGGACAUGUUGUUGAUCACAGUAGGCCUUGUUACGACGGUUACAAUUGGAGGAAGUACGGACGGAAGCAAGUCAAAGGGAGCGAAUAUCCGCGAAGCUAUUAGGAAUGCACUCACCCGAAUUGUCCCGUAAAGAAGAAAGCCGAGAGGUCGUUCGAUGGACAGAUUGCUGAGAUUGUUUACAAGGGCGACCAUAGCCAUCCCAAGCCGUUUCUGCCACCGCCGCCACCUCAGCAGCAUAAACGGAAUUUGAAUGCCGGUGGUAAUUGCAGGAAUGAUGAACAGGUGUGUGGAACUGCUGGAGGAGAAAUCCUGAUUGGAACAGGAUUACUAGCCAAUGCUGUUGUGGAAUUCGAGGAAGGAAGCAUCAGAGGAGGAGGAUUAAUCCAGGGAGAUCAUGAUGAACCCAGAUCCAAAAGAAGGUGAGAAACAAAAAAAAGGCACAAACGUUGAAGCAUUUCUGGAGAAGUUCCAGUUUUCCUGAGUCUUUAUAAAGCCGCAUUUUCUGCGACGGAAUUGGAGGCCAAAUUUGUCAGAUUUAGGGCAAAUUGUGGACACUAGAAUGAUUUGAGGCCAUUUUGAACGCCGGAACUGGAGGUGGGAUUAGCUGGAUUUGGGACCAUUUAGCGCACCAGAUCAAUUAUGUCAGAUACGUUUUUUGCGGCCAUAAAGCGAAAUCCUCAGUUCGGCUGGAUUUGGGGAUUAAUAUCGCCUAAUUCCGGCCGUCUGAUUUCGUUUGGAGAGGUCCGAAUUCGCCUAAGCUGAUGAAUUGGGCCUUGCAUAUGAAAUCCGGUGGAUUUGGGGAUCCUAGAGAGAAUUAGAGGUGAUUUGGGAGUAGAAUUGGCCGGAUUUGGGAAACAAUUCAUGACGUCCAACCAAUUCCGCCGGAUACAUUUUCUGUAGCCGACAUUCUCAAUUCUGUCUGAUUUGGGGGCUUUCCCCCUAAUUCAGACUUCGAAUUCCAUUUGAGAAUCUCCAAAUUCCCUCGUGAGUCCAAAUCUCGACAACUUUGAGAAUUUCAACCGCAAUCGACAGUUUAAGCUGAAAACGAAACCUAAUUAGCACUUUUUUGGUUGGUUUCCAGGAGAGUUGAGGAUCAGGUAAAUGAUCAGUCAGGAAUUGCAGCAGCACAGAACCUGGAACGGAUCCUGAAAUAUUAGGAGAUGGAUUUCGCUGGAGAAAAUACGGACAGAAGGUUGUCAGAGGAAACCCAUAUCCAAGGUUAUUACUUGUUCUUCGUCUUUGAGAUUUAGCAGAGUCAAAUAACUAAAAAUAAGCCAGCGCUCAUGGUUUCCUCCCCCACAAAUUUUGUAGGGGUUCUUUCCAAAAAUUAAACAAGACAAAUCAUGUAAUGAAAGUGUUUGACCUUUUCUUUAAUUUUCUGUUGCAUGCAGGAGCUACUACAGGUGCACGAACCUCUAGUGUAAAGUGAGGAAAUACGUGGAAAGAGCUCCUGACGAUCCGACAACUCUGGUAACUACCUAUGACGGGAAGCACAAUCAUGAGAUGCCUUCCAGAACCGAACCUGACGCUUCUUCUUUCAAGUCUUCUUCCUCCAGAGCCAAACCCUGAGAGACGUCACGUCAGAAUCUGCAGUUAAUCGACUCCUUGAUGGUGUAUAUAAUCUGUGUUUUAUAUUCAUGAUGGAUGCCUCCUAUUUUAUAUAUUAAGUUUGUAGAGAGAUUACUUAAUCUACUCAACGCUGAAAGCUAUGUAAAUGGACCAAUCAACUAACACUACUUUUUUUAAUUACAUACAGAGCCUAGUUGUACAUAUCAAAUUGACAUCAUUAGUUGAAAGUUAGAGAUAGUGUCCUCCUCACUUGUAUGCAGGGCUGGAUAAGAGCCGAGCCGAGCCGAGUUGAGUCAAAUAUUCGGUUGGUUUAAGUUUGGUUCGUUUAGUUUUAAUCUAAUUCGAGCUCCACUCGAGUUUGAAUUGUGGUUCAGAAAUAGUGUUUCAGCUAGUUCAGCUCGAUUAAAAAAGUGAGGGGUCAAGUUCGAUUUGUUUGUAUUCUUUGACACGCUCGAGCUCGACUCGAAAAUUCGAACUCUUAACUCUGUUAGCAUCAUAAACAAGUUCGAGUUCGGUUUGUUUAUAACCUUAAACGAGCUUAAACUCGGCUCAUUUGCAACCUUACCGAAUUGGAAUUUACAUCGCAACAAAAAAAUGCACCUCAAGAAGCAUAUAGUUCAACCUGAACUAAGAAUUGUAGGGGUAAUAUAAUCAAAAUAAUUAGCUAGCUAGUGUUGUAGUUGGUUUACAAUUCACGAGUAACAUAAUCGAGUUUACAAAUGAGCCACACGUCAAGCGGCUUGCGAACGAUAUACAAACCUGCCCGCGAAUCAAGUUUGACGAGCCAGCGAGUCAAGCCCGCUCGAAAACUCUACACAAACCUGUUCGCAAGCCGGGUACAACGAGCCAACGAGCCGAGUUGGCUUGGGGAUCGUCAAACCGAAUCACCUUUGGAUUGGGCUCGAUUUACAAGCCUACGAGUAUGUUAAGAUCACUUAUAAUACCUAGGAUUUUGUUUUUGUGGUUGAACUUAAUUUGCACAGGACAAAAUCAUCACUAGAACUCCCAACAUUUGGAGGACGUUCAACACCCUAACACACACAACUAAAUGAAAGCCAGAAACUUGUUGUAACCCCACAUUUGGAAACCGAUCUUGACUCUGUUUCCACUUAAACAAACAUUCGGAUACGAAGAUAAUGCCGCCAAAACAUUACAUGUAUCAGUGGCAGUGCAGGCCAAUUUUCUACAUUGGAUAUGUCAAAACAAUAUCAUUCAUUGUUCAACGGAGACGAACAAGAAUCAAAGGAUAAAAAAGCAAAAGGUUACCAAGCUUGUUUGUUUGUGACUGGUUGGUUGGUUGAUUGCGUUUCCACGUUUCUCUCUGCGAGACGCGUUGAGAGCUGACUGACAACUGUGAACCCUCUGUCUUUUCUUUUUCCUACUUCCUCUGUUCCUUUCCCCUCUGUCUCUUUUCCACCGUCGGUAAAAAAAACUUGGGGGGUCCGAAUCGGAUUUACAGAGCUUGGCCCCCUCCUCCUUACGGAUUUAUGACAGGAAUGAGGGAGUUUGGUGGUGAAUUCAUGAGCCUGCCUGCUGCUUCGACCACCGCCAGCUGUUUUUUUUUUAUAAAUAAGUUACCAUCAGCUUUGUUGAUAACGUUUUAAUUUAAUCAGAUGAAAACAAAACUAACUUUUCACAGCGGAGAAUGAAAUUCGAAUUCCAGAGGGGUGUACUUGAAGCUGGGUUGGAUAAUUACCGGCUCAUCCAAACCGGGUUGGUGGUGUGGACUGGUUUGACUGCGACCAUUUUCGUUUCAGGGUUUGGUGGUAAUGGACUGAGUGACACUACUGUGCUAUUACUCGAUUCCACGACGCGAUUUGAUUUGAUUUGAUGCAUGGAACCCACCACAGAUUGCGACUUGUUCCGCAAAAACAAGGAUAAAUAAGAGCACAUACAAGGGAAAAAUAAUACAGAGUAUGAUCAGAUGAAAAAUAAAUAAACAGAGAGAGAGAGCUUGUCGACACAUUUCCCGUGUCUGAAAUUCAAGCCCUUUUAAUGGAUUCUUAUUAGGAAUUAGCAUCGUACCAGAAUUUCAGAUAUAUAUAUAGAGAGAGAAAAAACAGUGAGUGAUCUAAAAAAGGAAUAUGAAAUGGAUACCUUGCUCUGGUGUAGCGAUAGGUGCAAAAACAACCACCACCACCACCAGCAAGAAGAAGAAGAAGAAAGAGUUGAAGCAACACAAGGAUAUGGAGAUGGUAGGGAUGAUCAAGGACAAAAACCCUUCACUUGAAAAGGAAAGAAGCCGUUCAGGUUUGUUUUCUGGGUAUAGAAAAGAUGAAAGCUUUUUUUCAGGGUUUCUGUCUUCCAAGUUUUUCAAGAAUGAACCUUUCUCAAGUUCUCUCAUGUCGAUCGGUGAAAUUUUGAAGAUCCUUCGCUUUGUAAUUCUCGAAGGAAGUCAUUGGGUUUGCUCAUUAGGCUUUAAAUUAGCCUUUGUGAUUGAAAUUGGUAUGUAAACGCCUAUUUGGUGGUGAUCACUAGCGGACCCAAGAUAUUCGGAGAUUCUCCGUUGGGUUGUAGUUUGAAACCACACUAGGCAAAAUUCGAAACACAAUAAGCGAAAAUUUCAACAUUUGAAAAUUUUACAUGGCCGGUUUUAGCCUGGAGAUUCCAAACUUGAAUUCUGGUAUCCGGGCUGAAGGUCAACAAGCACGAGGUUUACCUGACUACAGUGUCACAAAGUGGCGCCUAUAAAAAGGUUUCAUUGUCAUAGAAAAAAACUUCACAUAAGAUUUCCUCAUUUUGGAACUGAAUGACCCUUGUCAGUGGCCUAAGUUCGCCUGCUCCUAGUUCCGGCACUGGUAGUGAUGAAAGUUAUGUGUUGUGACUUGUGUGUGUCUGCAGAAAGGUCGAGGAAAGAUAGGAAAUUAGAGUCCAAGGUAAACUCGGAUGACAUUGCAGCAAAGACCUUCACAUUCCGGGAACUGACCAUAGCAACUAACAACUUCAAAAAGCAAUGCCUUCUUGGUGAAGGAGGCUUUGGAAGGGUUUACAAAGGCUAUUUAGAAAGCAUUAACCAGGUUCAAAUUUCGACAUAUUACAGAUAUCUAAUUCGUCUUUUGGUCAGUGAACACCAUGGUUAUGCUUAUUUUCUUUGCAGGUUGUGGCAAUCAAGCAACUUGACAGGAAUGGCUUGCAAGGGAAUAGAGAAUUCCUAGUUGAGGUCCUGAUGUUGAGCCUACUUCAUCACCAAAACCUCGUGAAUUUGACUGGAUACUGUGCCGAUGGAGAUCAAAGGCUUCUGGUUUACGAAUACAUGCCUCUAGGAUCUCUGGAUGACCACAUCCAUGGUAACAUUUUUAAAUUACGGCACUUUCCUUUCCUGGUUUAUUUGAGCUGCAUUCUAAAGUUUUGAUCUUGAUGUCACAGAUAUUGAGCUUGGAGGAAAGAAAGGCCUCGAUUGGAACACGAGAAUGAGUAUCGCGGCAGGAGCAGCAAGGGGGUUGGAGUUCUUGCAUGACAAGGCAAAGCCUCCUGUGAUAUACAGGGAUCUUAAAUGCUCAAACAUUUUACUAGACAAAGGAUACCAUCCGAAACUAUCCGAUUUCGGACUGGCGAAACUCGGCCCCGUUGGAGACAACACUCAUGUAUCCACGAGAGUCAUGGGGACUUACGGUUAUUGUGCUCCUGAAUACGCGAUGACCGGCCAACUAACCUUGAAGUCUGAUGUUUAUAGCUUUGGUGUUGUCCUCCUGGAGAUCAUUACGGGAAGGAGGGCUUACGAUACCUCCAAGUCGGUAGGAGAGCAGAAUCUUGUUGCUUGGGUAAGUACUCAUAAACAUUUCUUGGUUCUGCCAUAUUUUUUUUCAUUAAGUGAAAUGAUCAAAUGUCGCUCGACGUUGACCGUUGGGAAUUGAAAUCCCAGGCUAAACCUUUGUUCAACGAUCGGAGAAACUUCGCGAAAAUGGCUGAUCCAAUGCUGAGAGGAGAGUUUCCUGCAAGGGCUCUAUACCAAGCUCUUGCUGUGGCAGCAAUGUGCGUUCAGGAACAGCCUAACAUGAGACCUGCUAUGGCUGAUGUUGUCACGGCUUUGUCUCACCUUGCUUCACAGAAGAGUGCAACUGAGACGCAGCAGUCGCUUCAGAUGUCGCGCUUGGCUGCAGAAACCUCACCUAGUGCCAAGGCUCGAAGUUGAGUGCCGUAGCAAGUGAGCUCCAGACUGAUCGACCCCCGCUUUAUUUGCUCGGAAUGUUUCGAAGCAACAUGGUAUGUUGGUAGUAGUGUGGAAAUACGUAUAAGGAUUUGACUUGGAUCUGUUGUAACAUCAACACGGCAGGCUGUAAUCACCAAUGCCUCCUCUCUUCUUUCUUUUUGUCUAUCCUGGUUUCCCUCCUUUUUGGGUGCUUAUUAAAGCACUUCCUCUUCCUUCUAAUCAUUUGUUGUUGUUUUUUCUGAGUACUGUGAAAUAAUUAAUACUAACUAAUUUAGAAUUGAAGGAUAUGAAACUGCAACAGUUGGAUAUGAUGUUUUGGUUUGACAUUAAUCAUUUUGUCUUUUGAUUUGAUCAAGUUUGAGUUGACUCGAUCUCUGGCUUCCACCUACCAAGUUUCAUAUAUGACUUAAUUUCUGGCUUAUACGUUUUCCAUAGAAAAAAAAAGUUCAUCUAUCUUUAUUUGUUUUAUAAAACUUCUCGCAACACCGUUCGAAUAAUUCUAGUUUGUUUCAAAUGUCUCAUAUAUACUAGCAAACCAAGGGUAGGGUGGGCAAUCUCGAAUCACCGCCCAUAAUCACUUGGCUACAAAUUGAUAGCAAAGUUGAUAAAAUUUCAUGUAGAAUUAUCAAAACUAAAAUCAUGUUCAGUGUUUCAUCAAGCGUGCUUUAAAUUUACACCCAAAUAUAAAAUUUUAUCCAAGAUUUCCGACCAUCCUAAUUCUAUUAUUGACUGUACCAUUCUGGAUAGUUUGAGCAGUUCAACAAUGAACCUGUCAUCAAGUCAUCCUCUUCCUCAUGGAGACCAAGAAAACUAACAAGUAUAUGGAGGAGGAGAGGAUGACUUUGAAUUUUCAGAACUCCUUCUACGUGCAGCCUGAAGAGCGAGCCGGAGGCCUCACUCUGUGGUGGACUGUAGAUUUACCUAUUCGGAUAGUUAGCUCUAGUAGAUUUUAUAUUGACGCCUUUAUAUCUAUUGGGGUGGGAUUUUAUUGCUCUUUUGUUCACACCCCCUCAAUUACGAAUGGGAGGAGGGUGUUUUGGGAUAGGGUCACUAGCUUUAGAACUGCGGCCAGUGAUCCAUGGCUGAUUAUCGGUGACUUCAACGCAGUUUGUUUUUACUAUGAAAAGUAUGGUACAGACCUAAUCGGCCUAUGCGAGUGCCAUGCUUCAGUCUGAUCGCACCGGCAGCUCAAGCCACCCUAGGUUUGAUGAGAAAUCUUAGAAGUGGCUAUGGAGCCUACAGCUACCCCCUAAGAUUAACACCUUCAUGUGGCGGUGCAUCAAUGAAGCCAUAGCUACACGAGAAAAUAUUGCAAAGAGAAGAUGGUGAUCGGGCCUCUAUUGGAUGACAAAAAAGGCUCUUUAGCCAGGGAUGUAUCGAAAACAUCCAACAUUGCUUAUUUGGAUGCCCUCAUGCGAGUGAUACGUAGAGGAGACACCUUUUGUCCCACCCGGCUCUUGAGCCCUCUAACUCCUUUGCUCGUUGGUUUUUUGACUUGCAGGCGUCAGCUAGCCAUAGUAGAUUGUGCCUGGUUGCCGCCAUCUGCUGGAACAACUGGAAAGCGAGGAAUGAAAGCACCUUCAGACAGAUUCACCUUACGAUUUUCACCACGGACUUGGCGAUCAUAAGAGACCUGGACACUUGGACCAGCGCCUUCAGCCCGUCGGGCCCACCCACAACUUUCCGAUCCACUCCAAACCAUCAUGAUGACUACCCACCGCCAAAUACCCCGCAGAGGAGUAUUCACUGUGACAGAUCGUAUAUUUGCGAUUCCCAAGAGGCGGCUUAUGGUUCGUUGCCCGUGACAUCCAUGGUCAUCCCUAUGACGGCAGGAACAGAAGUUUCUUUUGUUCAUUGGCGAUUAGUGCGAAAGCAAGAGCGAUUCUUAAAGCCACUCACUUUUCCAUAGCAAGCUCAGAGCCCACAACCAUUUUUUCGGAUUGCAUCACCAUCGUCAAUAUCAUCAACAAUCAAGCGCUCGCGUGGUCUUGGUCUUGCUAUGCUACCAUUGACUCGAUCCUCAACCUUCAUGACAAUGCACCGUGGAUUAAAUUUGCCUUCACUCCAAGAAAAUUGAAUCAAUUAGCGGAUUGGGUGGCCACUUAAACCCGUGCUCAUGCGAUUAGUCAAGACUGGAUCCCAUCUCUUGAAUGGGUUGAUGUCUUGCUUUCUAAUCCUGUACUGUAACUCACUUUUAAACGAAUGAAAUCGUCUUUCCUAUAAAAAAAAGUAUGUUCCAUAUAAUCUAAUUACAGUUUCACUUCAAUUAAACAUGGCACCUACCAUCUAAAUUAAUUAAUAAAUUUAAGGUUAUGGGAACUGAAUGUAAAACUGUCAAAGGGGAAAAGAAAAUACAACAAAUGAUGAAAGUUUGAAAGAAAAAUGUAAGUCAACACAAUAAUUUACAUUCUUCAAGGUCCUAAAACGACCUCAGUAGAUGCAGAUGGGGAGACCAAAUGAUGUCGUAAAGACGAGCUAAAUAUGCAUCGUCCGGGCUACGUCUCUGUUCCUCCUCCGCCAUCACCAGUCUCGGGUUUACCCUGUUUAGGAAAAUUGCAAUUGUCCUCCGUCAGCUCUUCCAUUGAAACACAAAAGAGUCCAAGGAAGAAGAAACCACGAAGUCUUUUAUUGUUACUUACCUUGCCUUUGUCACGCCAGCCAAGGCCAAAUGUCAGAAUACCCAUCCCUCUACUGGGGCUUUCCCCUGCCGCGUUCUGCUGCUGGAGACCCCUGUGCAUCAAAGGUACCAAAACCAAAAUUCCAGGUCCAUGUUAACACAUGAAAAGAAAGAACAAACAGACAAAAAAUGGAUGGUUUGACUGAGUAUUGUUUAUAAGAAAGAAAGAACAAACAAACCCUGGAGGUUCGCACUGUGCUUUAGUUUGGCCAGAUUGGUACUGCAUCGUAGCGUCCAACAUCGACUCUGCCAUCACCACCCUCUUCUCCAUUUGAGCUAUUAGCGACAUUGCCUUAUCAUACUUCUCCUGCAAACAUAAGAGUAAACGGCAUGUAACUUCAUCUGUUUCAAUGUUUUUUGUUAAUUGUAAGCUGCCGAUCUGGGAAAAAAGAGAGUAGGAACAAGAAAGGAUACCUGAAGGGAGCUGACUUCAAGUCUCUGAGCAGCUGCUUCUUUCUCAGCAAUCACCCUGGCUUCUUCUGUUAUCUUCUGUUCUUGCUCAACACGCAUCAAUACCUAUAGCCACCAAGAAUAUGUAUAUAUAUAUAUGAGUACCUUCUAGAACAUUUUAUUUCAUUUCUUCCGGCUCACUCAUCUUCCCUGUGACAGAAAUUAACCUGAAGCAUAGCAGCUUCUUGCUCUUUCUUUUCAGCAAGGGAUCGUCGUAGACCAUAUAUCUCGUGCUCUAGCUUCUCAAUCUGCACACAUAUGAAUUGGAGCCCAUCAAUCCGUUGGAUUCUGCAACUAAACAUUUUAUACAAAUAAAUUCAAUCCUAAUUGCUAAUUAACUCGAUGAGUGUAAAGCCAAUACCUUUGCACUCAAUUGCCGCCGAUUGUCUAGUUUGACGAUCUCCAUAAGUGCUGUCUCCAGCUCCUCAGCUCUGGAGUACCAAAAACAUUCCAGACGUAACAAACAACACGCUAUUGGUAUUCAUUGGAUUUGUGUUAAAAGAGUCUUGCAUAUGCUGGACACCCAAUUUGGGAAAAGAGAGAUCAAUCAAAGAGAAUACUGAUCUAGGCAGGCAGUAGAUGCUCUGACAACUAUGUUACCUGAGUAUGGCAGAUCGCUUCUCCUCCAGUAAUCUGCACAGCUCCACCUUCAGCCAAACUAUCUGCAUCACCAAAACGCUCUUAAUAGUUGGAAUUUUCUAAAAUUAGAUACCAACAAAUUAACCUUUUUCUGAGAUUGGAAACAAUAAUACCAAUAAGCUACCAAAAACCUUAUUAACCAAUGGGUUGACUGGACAUAGUAGUUGUGGAUGGUUCGUGAUGUAAUAAAAAGAGUACCUGAUCUUGAAGAUCUGGCAAAGAAUCCAGUUCUGAGUCGGCAGACAAUCCGCAUAGAAAAUCAUCAAAAGGGGAGCCAGUUCCUGACUGAGAAUUGUUGCCUACACCGUUCCUAUCAUCACGGCCAGCAUCAUGCUUGAAACUAUACAACUUCUUUGCAAGACCUUUUGAAUCCUUCCAUACGUUACCCUGUUUUGAUCUUUCCUCGACUACUUCCAGUACUGAUGCUCUGUGUUUUUCUCUCAACUCUUUCAAUCUAGAUUCAGUUACAGACAAAAAUCCAACACAGGCAGUCAACACAAGCUGGCUGCUGUCAAAUGUUGAUCCUGCUAGGGACUGUAAUAAAGUAAUUGCAUCCCCAGCAUCUCUAGUAGUAAGUAAUGCAGGACCUAGGACAAAAUUUUAAAUAAAAUAAUGAGGAAGUGCGAAAUUUGAAGUACAGAUAAAGAUGUGAUUUUUUAAGUGUUAGCGAGUACCAUAUAGCUCCAUCAGAGCAAAUGCUGUCCGAAACAGCAUUACACGAUUUCCCUCAAACAAUAAAACGUCCCAGAUUCGCAGAACUGGAAAUGGUGGCACAAAGUAGCGGAGAAUAAAGGAUCAGGUUCAACAGUCAAACGUGGUAAUGCAGACAAACCAUUUUAAUUUUCGUUCCAACUAAAUGAUAAAAGUAACUGAAACAAAAAAAAACUGUACCGCUUUCCCAGGGAAGCAUAUUUAUAAAAAUAGAAAGGAACCAAGGUCCAGAUACCCAUGCAACCUGCACUCCCAAGAAUUCCAGAUGACUAACUGCAGCAAUAACAUAAAAAAUGAAAUGCCAAUACUAUUUAAAGCCCUGUAUUCAAGUAAGAGAAUUAUAAUAAACUAAGAGUUGACGAUAAUGGACAAACCCAGUCUAGGGAAAAUUUCAUGCAUUAACUCUUCAAAGACCAGCUGGUCGACCUGUUGACAUAGAUGCUUUGAUUAAUGAGAAAGAACUGUCCAAACAGUGUAAUUACGAAAGUAGAAAAAAGAAAAUGACUAAAUCCAAGACACUAAACACUACCUGUGAUUCAAUCAUUUCUUCAGUAUAGUAGCCAUCGAAAUAGUCAUCAAUAAUUCCCACAAAAGUCCUGAGUGAUUCAAACAAAAGAAACCAAUUCAGCUAGCCAGCUACCAUUCUAACAUCACAGGUUCAAAGAUUAUUUUGAGAGACUAGGAAACAGUAAAAUUUAAUUUCCUGGUACAGCAGUGUAAUAACAAGGAUUAUAUAUGUAUGCUCAUGUGUGAAACAUGGAAACAUUGUUUUGAGAGACUAGGAAACAGUAAAAUUUAAUUUCAGAUAAGUGAUCUUAUAAGAAAGUAAGAAGCUUUAAUGAUAAGUCUCUGCUCAAACUUGGUUCUGUAAGAAAACAUUUGACAGAGUGCAGUUGCUCAAACCUACCAAAAAGCAUUCUCUUCUGGCAUCAGGAGUAGCAACAAGCCAGCAAAAAAAUUCAUGGCCUGCAUUUAUCCAAGCUAUCAGUGAAUAACGAUAAUCAAUAUACGAGCUUUUGGAUGGAUGACAAACGAAUAUUAUAAUGCAUGAGAGAAUAAACAAAGAGGUUUGAUAAUCAAUUUAUAAUAAGAAAAGUUUAGCCAUUCAAUAACUGGGUUCUUAAUAAUGUCAGCGAAACAAUUUUGAUCCUGUGAACAGUCUUGCUAUGGCUAAUGCUCUCAAUUCCACAACUCUAUAGCUAGCCAUGGCAAAGAAGCAAAAACUAUACAUGGCAAGACAUGAAGCAUAUAUGAGGUCGCUAAUCUUCAGUCUACAAGUCCAAUGAGAAUUUUCUUUAUCUCUAAUGACUAAUAGAGAAUAAGUUGGCCGGACGGUUACCAGGCUGUUGGCAAUUUUUUAGAAUAAAAUGGGUCAUUCAUGUUCAAAAACAGGCAUUUAUCAUAGCUCCCACCUGGCAGUAUCCAACAGAAGGGUUAUGCCGGGCAUAUGCUAUAAGAAGCCGCCUUAAUGAGUCCCUGCCAUGCUCAUCCAAUGCUGGAUGACCAGGAAACGUUCUCGGUAUAUCCUGUAAAGGAAACAAGAAAAUCAUUCUAGGGAGAAACCAGAAUACCAACCAAAGCAGAAGAAUCAGCACCUACAAAUUUAAAAGAUUGAACGAUAAAGUCCAAGGCGCAUGCAUCUAAUGACCUUCUCAAUCUGCUUUCUCCACUGUGUGGGUAUGCCUGUGCUGUUAUCAUCAUUGCUAUCAUCAGCAUUAGCAUCUUCUGCAAGUAACCCCUCAUAAUAUUUGUCAACCCUGCGUGUCUUCGCACCAACAAAGGCCUGCCAUACCUGAAAUACCAAAACCAGAUGUAUCUCAUAACCAAUUUCUAGAAAUACUAUUCAAAUAUAUACAUUGUUUUACAAAAAUUUACACUGUCAGAUUUACCUCUCCCCUGAGAUCUUUUGGCACUCCUCCAUUGACAAGGAACUCGAGUUCCUGUUUCCAGAGAAAGAAUGGUUCAGAAGAAGGCCCAUUUUCUACAAUUCUUUCAUCUGUGCUCUCAUUAUCUUUUUCAUCCAAAGUCUCCUUAAAACUUUCCUCCUUGACAACAUCAUCAUCUGGUUCUCCUUCUGAUGAACCAUCUUCUUCUAUCACUGGAAGAUGGUCUCUACUCCUAGUCUUCUUAUUGACUUUCACAUUAUGUUUUUUCUGAACACGUUCGCUCAUUAUUCUCUCUAUAACCUUCAGGGAUGGUCUAAUUUGACCCCAAUUUGGGACUCUACCAGCCUUCGAAGUUUUUGAACGAUCCUCCUUUACACCUUCCUCUGAAACAUGCAACCCUUCCGGUGGUUUCGAUGGUACUUCCAAGGAUUGUACCUCUUCUUUAGGCAGCUCUGACUGCUUAUCCUUUGUCGCUUGAACCUUCUUUUGAUGUUCCUCCACACAUGGCCACUCUUCCUUUCCAGGUUCCUCUACAACUUGCACCUCCUGCCAAGGUCCCUCAACCACUUUUUCACCUUCUUCCAAACAACGAGUCCCUUGGAUUGAUUCCUCCAAGAGUUGGUGCUCCUUUGAGGUUUCAGAACUAGGACAGCUUACACUCACAUCGUCCCCACCAUCCCUUCUUUUUAACGCUUGAAACUUCUUUUCCGGUUCCUCGACACACGGCCCCUUCUCCUUUCCAAGUUCCUCUGCAAAUUGCACCUCCUGCUGAGGUCCCUCAACCAGUUUUUCACCUUCUACCGAACGAUGAGUCCCUUGGGUUGAUUCCUCCAAGAGUUGGUGCUCCUUUGACGUUUCAGAACUAGGACAGCUCACACUCACAUCAUCCCCAUCGUCCCUUCUUUUUAACUCUGAACUAGCAGCCUCUUCUCCAGAUUGAGCAGUGCCUUCAACCUGCAACCUGUUUUCCUCGUUUGCUUCUUCAGAUUCGUCCAAGUUCUCUUGUUGUUCAAGGAAGAGCUUCCAUUUAAUUGAUCUUUCCUCCUCCUCCUCCUAACAUAUACCACCACAUCCAGAAAUCAAAAUGCUUUCACUUUACAUGAUCAAUCCAACAGAGAACAGGAAAUCAAAAUGCUUUCGAUUUGCGAUUAUAAAUCCAUAAAACAACAGGAAUCAUCAUGACAUCAAAAAAAUUAGCUUGCAUGUCCCCCCGAAAUGGAAAUACCUUGUAGAUAUGGAUGUAUUCUCUGUACCGUUGUACGUGUUGAGGUCUCAACACAAAUCCAUAAGAAUCCCUGUCAAAUCUCACAAUGAAAAAACAGAAAAAAAUAAACCAAAAGCAGAAUAGAAUUAGGUACGGAAUCCCCCAGAGAGCUUUGCUUGCCUGGAGUCAGCCUCCAACGAGCGCCUACUCAACAAGGACAACAACAUACUUCACAUCCAAAUUUCGCAAUUCCAAAGCCCAUAGCUCUCUUUUAACUCGCAAUUCCGUUCAUUAUUUUGGAUUCACGCGGCCAAAAUGCCUACAACUGUCUAAGGCAUUUCCCAUUUGCAGGACCAUCCAUUAAGACAAACAAAAAAGAGCAAGAAGCGAAGAAUGGGGAGGAGAAAAAAAGAAGAAGAAAAAAUUGACCGGAAAAUUGCACCCCGACUUUUAUAUUUUCCGGCGUGACAUUACUAGAUGAGAAAUUGAAGCUCGGAUUCGACUCAUUACCAUCCAGAUUACCAAAGUUAUCACCAUUUUUCCCGCUCAUCCCCCGAUUGAGCGAGUGUGCGAAGAAAGAAGGUUUCAAUUUCAAAAACUCAAUCAGAGAAAAACAAGCAUCCGAAGACACGCGGCAAUAGCAGAAGAAGUAGCGUUUACCUUCUUCCGUGAUGGAGAGAUUGGGGGAGGUUGACGCCGUUCUCCGCCGCCAUCUACGGAUGUUCGAUUGUAAUCCGGUGAUCAGAGGCAUGCAGUAUCGGUCAACAAAGCUGCUCGAGGUCGCCGGAGCUUCACCGGAUGAUUCGGGAGACAAACUAGAAUAUAGCGUUGAGCUGCAAGAAUUUUGCUUUUAUGAAAGGGGAAAAAAACGCUACGCUACUAUGCAUUAAAGGUUGUUCCUUCUCGUGAAGCUGAGCACACUGAAAAAACCGACUGUGUUGGCGUCACGUGUUCAUCCCCCAAGGGUUUACUUACAAGAUUUGAUUUAUCUUUUUGGAAAAAGACGAUUUCUUUUGUAAUCCAAUUCCAUUUCCACCUGAACUCAAACGUAACCGACACACCUUUUCCCACAAUGCAGACAAAUUCUUCUUUCUUUUGCUGACCAGUACUUCUCAUUGGCCAUUGCCAUUCAUUUUUUACAGAAAUUUAAAUUUGGGUUUGUGUGUUAAGCACUUAUUUGAAUACACUUUGCCACAUUUGUACUUCCAUCCAGCUUGAAAAGUUGACGACGAGUCAAUCCUUACUUUUUAAGGAACGGAAGGUAAUAUCUAUGGUGGAUGGGGCCAAGAUGAAGGUUAGACUUCAGGAGUACAAAGAUGAAGUAUCCCCAACUAAAUUGACCUGUACUUGGAGCUCAGCUUCUCGAUUCUCAAGCCCAAUCGUUGGAUUUGUGUAUGUGUAAAGAACCGGACUCGUAUAAACAUGUAUAAAAAACGAGUACAAAAAUGUAUUGUGUAUACAAAUAAUCGGAAAACGUCCUCGAAAAGUUUCCAGACUUUAAAAAGUUCAUCGUACAAAUUAUUAUGGACAUAGUUAGUACGAAAAAUAGCAUAUUUUUAUUAACAAAGAUAACAUCACAUUAUCAUCGAUACGUUAAUUACUUUCAAACACUGUCGUCCUAUAACAUGAAAGACACAACAACAACAACUACUACUACAAGGGUAGCUAAUUUAGUCUUCACCACUGCGGUCAGCGUUGAUCUCGUCAAGGAUCACCACAAGAGAGACGAUGAAGGCGUAAUCAACAUUGGGGUAGAUGGUCACCCUGAAAUUGUCCGUCUCAAACAACAUCGUUGCCAUGCUAUGUCCUCUGUACAUCUGAGCAAUGAUCUUGUUGGUGUUGCCUAGAUAAAUAACGCAUGAACUCUGGUGGAAGCUGCCCUUGACCCUGAAAUCAGGGACUUCUUCCUUGGUGUUCCCAGCCAAGAACACGCACAACUCGGUCUUCAUCAGCUGCAUCACCGACGAUUUCCUCACAGUGAACAGCAACUCGUUGCUGUUCCCGCGAAACGCCUGCCAUCUUCUGUGCGCCGACAUUAGCUGCCACACAAAUAUGAAAUUUAGGGGUGGGAAUCGAGUAUGAAUGUCAUACCGGACUUUGAGUAACCUUAAACUUUGAGUUAAAUAGGAUUGGAUCGGACUCGAACCAUAAUUAAACAAAUUGAGAUUCGAACCCGACAUGUCUCUGCUUACUUUCUGUGACAUGGAGACUAGCACGUUGUUGGAGGCAUCCAUCAACUUCCGGCGAUCGUGCAGGCUCAUGAGCUUGCUCUUGACUCUGAAGAUGACGGUCCCGUUGACGUCAUUGACGGUGAAAUCAUUUUCUCCGAGGGUCAUCAGCUUGGUCGCCACUGUUAGAUCGACAGGGUAUUGAGCCAGAAAGUAAGGGCCGACCACUACCACUGGCUGCUCCAGGGGAAGAUACACCGUCAUCGCCGGGAUCGGGUUGCUGGGUUGACCGGUGGCCAUGGUUUGGUUACUCUGGUUAUUUGAUUUAAACAGAGAUGGGUUUUGUGAGUAAUGAGGCAGGGGAUAUGUGCUGGCUAUAUAUGAAAAGAAGAGUUGCUAUCUCUGCACCAUGCAGCCGUACACUUGUUGAAGAAACCAGGCAAUGAAAACAGAGUCAUAUGCACCAUAAACAGACCUCUGUCCCCAACCGAAUGAGCUAGUUUCCAGUUUCCACCGCGCCGAUAAGGAGGCAUUCUAGAAGGCUAACCUGGACUUGAUGUUAUUCCAUUACCAGAUUUUGGCCUAUCCAGCAGAAUACAUAUGCAUGAUGAAAACAUUUUCAAAAAAAAAAACACUUUAUAAGCAUGCAAAAGACUGAAAAACGAUGUACACUGAUAGGCGAUACACUCUUUCUCUUUGACAUCCAAAUCGUUGCUGUUGAGCGGCUAUCUAGCUACAAGGUUGUCAACAUCCAGUGGCGUAAGCAGGUCAAGUAUGGUUGGGUAUUUCUCGGAGGCAGUCAAGAGUUGCGCUUGGUGACCCUGUAGGGAAGUACGUUGGCUACGAUGAAAAGAACCGUAUAGCUUUUUCCAAUGCAUAUAUGAGAAUCAGGGCCACCUUGGACAUCAAUGUGCCAUUGCUUAAGGAAAGGAUGGUCGGCCUUCAUGACGGAUUGGAGCUUACAUGCAAGUUCAAAUACGAGCAGCUCCCGUGGUUCUGUUACAUCUGUGGGAUCAUAGGCCACGUGGAAAGAAAGUGUGAGCUCCGAUGCCAAUUCCCCGAGGAACAACUACGUUCCAAUGAGAUGAUUCAAUUAAAGUCCCAACCUGGAAGGAUAUGCAGCAUCAAACUGCAAGUCACUGGAACCUAAUGAAGACGCGUACACCGGAACAGAAACAGGCCGCAGCAGAAGCUACCCGAAAACCAUUCAUUUGACCGAACCUUUCACUGCCUCUGUCUUUCCCCUUUCCCCUCUCCAUGUGUGCGAUUCUUCGAAAAUCCAGAUCCUACACCUUGAACUUCAAUCUCUAUUAUCUAUUCUCCUUUCUCUCAUUCAAUCUGAUAACCAGUCGCUACCUCUCAGCUCUUUCUAUGACUGACCCUUGGGCUAGGCUCUCAAUCAGAAAACAGUUGUCAUCUCUUUUUUUUUUGUGCUUCCUCUCCAGUCACAAACGAGGGGUUUGGUCGAUCUUGGUCAGAAACCAGUUUCGGUGCUUCCUCUGCAGCCAAAAAAAAAAUGAUUUCUGUUGACUAGCUAUGAUGGCAGUCACCAAAGGUUUGAUGAAGAAGACGAUGAGCAGCAAGCAACUGCAGUCUCAGUUUCAUGGCGGAGGCGAAAUACGAGUAGGAGUCGGCGGCGAUCAAAGCUGUGGACGUGGUGGCAGUGAGGAACAGAUACAGAGAAAAUUUUAAAGAAACUCUCAUCGAACAACCGAUCUCGCUGAUCGGCACCGAACUUGAUCCAAGUAAGCAUCUUUCCGUCAAUGUUAACUGUAAAAUUGACAUAGAUAUGGAGAACUGCUUUUAUAGCAAAUACCAACUCCAAUGAUAUCGGCAAAAUACUGCAAUAACAUUCACAUACCGGGUAAAAAACAUUGUUUACUUAUCUUGGCUCUGGGCUCGACGUUUGAGAUUAUCAUGGAGCAGAGUAAACAUGAUUUCACAAGGAUUGAAUGAAUAGAAUAUGUCCAUAUUAGCUUCAGCUAUCUAUUUUCUAUGCUGUCAUGCUCUUGGUGUUGCCAUUGUGAUUGGGCCAAUGCCUUUUUUUCACUUUCCAUUGAUCUCUUGAGAGUCACCAGAGGGUGACUAAAAGCUCUUAUUCCACCAUAACAAUAAAUGUUUAUAUAGAUUGUGAUUAGUAGUAGUUCACAACAAUAUUAAACCAGCUCUUGAUCAGUAUCAUUUUUUACUUUGUUCAAUAGGUAGAAUUUGGUUUAAUCUUUCGAAAUGCAGUUGGAUUGGAAAGAGUCAUCAUAUAAUUAAACAAGCAUGAUUCCAUUUGUCUGCUAUAUAUUUAGGUAGUGAUUGAUAUAUGCGUGUGCUAGAUGCUUAGAAUAGUAGUAGGUCACUGCUCAUAUAUGCGUGUGCUAGAUGCUUAGACCAGGAAUCUUUUUUUGCAAGACAAGGAAUCUACAACAUGAAAAUUUGCCCCUUAGCGGUCACUGAUCCCGUGCCUGCAAAAUAAUGAGGCUUUCGUGAUGAAAGCGUUUACUAAGCAAAUUGUAAACCAUAAACAGAAUCAUCAGGCACAGACAGUAAUAAAUAAUAAUACCAAGAAGCGCUUCUUGUAGAAGCCCACCACCUCUCUGGAAUCGCUCUUGGUUUCCCAUCAACCCUCUUCAUGUCCUGAAUCCAAGCAGCAAGUUGUGGCCGUCCACCAGUGAUAUCGUAGUUCCAAGCUGCAGGCAGGAAUAUCUCUGCUCUUUCAACGAAUGGAAUGUAAGCUACCUGGAGAAACAGAGUACUACAAAUUAAACGCCAUUUUUCACACAACACUAGCUACCAAAAAAAUAGAAUGAUUAGAGAUUAGUGUAGUGUCUAAGCUGAACUGUCUGCCAAGGAAAAAGGGCCCGUCUUUGAACUUCCCAAGGGCAGCUUCCACCGCAUCAAAUGCAGGUUAUAGUACUCAUAACAGGUUAUAUUACCGGCUUCUCUUACUGUUUCUCCUUUAAAAGAGUUGAGAAUCAUCUCGGUGAAGUCAUCGGAGUAUGACAGCAAUUCCUCAGCAAAACUUUUCCUUUCACCAUCCUGUUUCACGACCAAAUUCCAAAAGGGGUCACAACUUAUUGUAUAGCUUUUGAUGUUUGGAAUACGAUUGAACCUUAUGUCUGGGAAGAAUGGCGGGCCGUCGAAAUUGGUGUCGACAUAGCGUAAUAUAUCGAGGCUUUCCACGAUGUAUUUUACCGUUGUGUUCCAACGCUGGCACCUUUACUUGUGCGUUUACUUGCUUUUACCAGGACGGCUUGUCUUCAAGGUUUAUCGGAACCAGCUGGAUCUUGUCCUUUAAACCCUACUAAUAAAACAGUAUACCUUUUUCAUGGAUUAGCUUGAGAGAGGGAGAAGAAGGGAACAAACGAGUAAAAUUGAGAGGACCGACCUUGCAAUUCCUGCCAAUCCAGGCGCGCUGAGCAAAUGGACUUCUGUAACUCGCGUACAAUCUGGCGGUGGCGGUUCCGUUAAAGGGAGGCGGCGCGUGGCUGGCGGAAUCCAGCGACGGAGGUAGUGUCUCUCUGGCGUUGGAUAUAUACGAACUUCCAACCAACACGCAACGGUAAAACAAUUGAUGUUUUGGCUAAAGAGAACCAAAAAAAAACUUUCAUAACGUCCUUUGCAAGUUCUUACUCUGCCCCCAUGUCGAAGCUGCAAUUAGAACAGAGCUCCUGUGUCUCUCACGUACCAAAUUCUGAAACUGGGCUAUUGUUUUGGGUAUGUAGCAAACUGUCCAAGAGGACUUCCGUUUUGCUUUUCUGAUGGCUAGGGGCUGGUGAUGUGGCAACACUUGUCGGAUUCAGGUAGCUGAUCGCUUACUGUGGUGUUAGCUGUCAGUUCUCACAACCCACCAACUUCCACCUGGGGAUCCAACCGCAGCUAACGGUAUUAACUUUGCACUAACUCCCCGUCUGCAUCAGCUACCUGAACACUCUGCACAAGCAAAAGAAUAAACGUGUAGCACAACUGUAGACGUUGAUAGGUAAAAACUAAAACAGACUUAGAAAUGGAUGAAUCACUCCUUUCCUUUUAUGGCCCAAACUUUGUGAAAUUAAAACUGGAAUUUAGAGAUGUGAGAAGAACACAACUUGUCCGACAAACAUUGCAAUGUAUAAAUUUGGUCUUUCUACAACCACCCAUACAAAACUUAUUGGGGCUCAUAUUUCUGCUCAUGUUUCGGGAUGCCGAUGCUGCUUUUCAACCGGUUUCCCAAGCAGCAGUUCAAUAUACAAGAUUUGGCCGGCAUCUCAUUCAUUCGUCAGACUCAGAUUUCUUCAAGAGGCUAAAUAUCACGCCUAUGCUGAGGCUUGUUGCCACAAACCCAAGAGAUGCCUCCGUUGAUACGUGAAAACCUGAAGAUGAAGUUUUCGAGGACUGUCAAAACUAUUACCCGAGAACGGAAGUUCAAAGCAUAAGAUAGAACGAUAGACAGUGAUGAUGGAUUAGAUGAUAACUCACCGAAGAACUCGAGUAUCAUCUUGCAUCCAAUGAAGCCUAGGACGAUAGCAAUCGACGGCUAAUGACACAAAAGUAGAUGGGAAAUAAGUCGUUUCAUAAAAUGAAUGGCAGUUCACACCAAGUAUAAGGAAUUACAGAGACGAGCUGAGUUUAAUUACUUGCAAAUACUCCAACUCUGACAUACUCUGGGAGAUGAGCGUGAAAAACGACCUCAGACCUGUGUUAUACAGAUUAUAGCCCACUUAGAUCAAGAGAGAGCUGAAUGUCACGGCACAAAAGAUACCAUAUAACUAGUUACUUGUGCUUAAAUUAACUGCAAAACCAAUAAAACUGCUAAAGCAAAGCGUCCCUAAAUAGAAGUUACCUAGUAUUGCAAAAAGGUUGGAAGAGAUAACAAUGAACGGAUCUCGUGUAACACCAAAAACAGCAGGUAUGGAGUCGACCUACAAAAUAACGGUGCAUGUCAAUUUCAAACAGAAACCAGAAACCGCACACAGACAAAUAAAUAAAUAUUUCGACCAGAGGACGAUUUCUUACAGCAAAUGCAAUAUCGCUGAGCUCAAGUACAGCUACUGUGAGAAGUAAGGGUGUGGCCUGCCCAAAAUGGUUGAUGCCUGUUAGGGAUGUGGUCAGAAAAAAAAUUACGUACAUCAGAAUGCUUAGCAUGAUAUGCAACAAAUGACAGCAUGGAUUAACAAGUUGAUCAUGCAAAACAAGAUCUUGUGAAAGAAAAUGACUUACUUUCCACACACCCUCGUGCAUUGUUAUAAAUCGAUCCCCGUCAUAUUUAGCUGUAAAACUAAACAUAAGUUAACCAAGAUAAGAGACAAAAGCAAACAAAGAACCAAUCUUGGAGUUGCAGAAAAUGACGAUCACAGUGUGCAUGCUCCACAACAUAUGAUCCCAGGAAAUUACAUGUGACCGGAAUAAAUCUCUGGCAAAUCUUCACAAUAAACUUGUCGGAUAGAUCAGUGUCAUCUUCUUCACUAACAAAUAGUAACUGCAAAGUCAUUAGGCAGCUGUGUAAGCAUACAAACAAGUGAACAACUGGAUUGUGUUGAAGAAGAGAAAUCCUCUCUUAACAUUAUGAAGUACCUUGAAAGAUGAGUAUAGCAAUAUUCCUGCCAGGAGUAGGUUGACUGCCUCAAAUCUCUGCAACAACAAAAAUAACAAAAUUGUGCAGAAAGGCCUCCUACUGAUAAUUCGAUAAAAAUGCUCAAGAUUCUGUAAACAAUGAUUGAGAUCUUCAAACAUCAAUAAAAUCAAUGCUUAGUGUUUACCUGAAGAGUGACCGUUCCAAGAAGUAUCAACGACAAACGAAAGAUGAUUGCGCCAGCAAUACCAUACGAAAGCACUCGAUUCUGCAGUUCACAUAACCAAAGGUUCCAUUUCUAUUUAACAUCAUGCUGUGCCACGGAACAAUACUCAAUUAGGUGAAGAGAGACGUACAUCUCACCUGAUACUUGAGUGGUACUUUAAAAUAGUUAAAAAUCAGAACAAAGACGAAUAGAUUAUCAACAGACAAACUUUGCUCCAAGAGGUACCUGAAGGAAGGAGCAUAGAAGGUUUAGUUAGAAUAAAAACUCCUAAAUCAACUAGCAAUGCAACUACGAGGUCAGAGACAGAAUUGACCCCCCAUUUUGCAUACCCAGCAAAGAACUCCGAUGCCUUGCCAACUCCUUCUUUCAGACCAAUGCCAAUUCCAAAUGCUACCGCACUGCCAACCUAUAAGAAUGAAUUGAAGUCGUUGGUUCAUCUAAACAAUGGAGCGAAAAGAGGCAAUUACCUAAAGUCGAAUCACAAUAGAGUUUCUGAGUACUCACACAUAGAGCAACGGUUUUAACUGAUGUCACAUACGAUUUAUCUCCCUCGGCUUUAUCCAACGCAUCAUCAUGUCUUUCAGAACUGAUCUUCUCAGCUUCUGACAAGUAUGAUGAAACAAGCAACUCCAAUCAGAUAAUUUAUAAUUGACGGUCAACUGAUUCAUUACAGAGGUGGAAAUGGGGAAACACUAACCGGAGUUGGAUAAAUCUCCUUCCUUCUCAGUGCCCCUUGCACCAGCAACCUGACAAACCCGCCGGCGGCCUCCAUUAGCGGCUGAAAAUCCAUCAAUUUUACAAUCCAUUAGAAUCGCGGAUUGAUUAUAAUAAUAGUGAAAACUAGGAGAAAUGAGGGACAGGAGGAAGGGAAAGAACCUGCGGAAACGGAAGGGAAUUGGGGCUGAACGAGCUGAACCCUAAUACAUUUAGGAUCAGUUGAAAGCCUGAGCGAGAAGGGAUUGAAGUUAAUGGGAGGAGCUCGAAUGUCGUCGUGGAUUGCGGAAGCCAGCCCCAGAACUCCCCGUGGAGUUGCGGCUUUGAGGUGGAGAUUGAAAACCAUUGGACUGAAUAAUCAGCGCAGAUUCUAAACGAGAAAGUAAAGUGGAAGUGGAAUGGUUUUGACUUAUCCUUCUUCUACUGAAUCCUCUGUGCGUCUCUCUGGCCUUCCUGCCUGCGCAUUGGGAUGGAUGGAACUCUGUUCAGUUGCUAUGGUGGGAGGGAGAGUGGGGGGCGUGUGGCAGUCUUCAGCCUAGAGACGGGCAUCUGUUUGCUGACGUGUCACCUUGUGGCAAGAAGCAGCGGUGCAUAUUCAUUCAACGACCAAUGCAAGGAUCGGAUUUGACUUUUAAAGAGUUCAAAGCAUUGGGGUCACUCAAGUUUUAGAUAUAUUCUAUUUCGGUCACUCGGCUUUGUUUGAACAACCACAAUACUCUGUUUUAAGGUAGGUAACGAAUUGGUUAUUUCAUACAUUUCCGUCCGAAACUCAUUAAAAAAAUAUGACGUGACUAACAAAUUUUAUUAUAAACUACAUAAAAAAAUUCCAUAUGAUUAAUUUUCCCCUCUGUCAUACAUACCCAACUUGUUUAGAAUUACUCUUGACUCAAAAUCUGCCCGAGCUUUCUUCUAUCUCGAAUUCUGCUUCACUUGCUACAAUCACCACUACAUCGUCCAAAUAACAAUGUCCAGCCGAGUUCCCAAUUUAUUGAUAGAUUUUGGUUUAACGAUAGUGUGUUUGAAAUAAUGGUGUAUGUUUGGAUGAUGGCAGAUAGAAGGUUGAGAGAGAGGGAAAGUCGGAAACUCAACGGGAUAACCACAUCUGAGAUUAUGUUGUGGUGGUAGUGACAGGGUAGGAGUUCUGACAAGUAUAAAGGACCGACAGAUUUUGAGUUAUGAAUAAGUAAAUUGAUUGUAAAUAGUUUGGAUGAGUGAUUGAAUGAUAUUUUUAGAGGAAUAUUAUUUCACGUCUUAAUUUUCGUAUUAUAUGACACCCUAAAUUUUAUAAAGAUGAAAUUAUUUAAAUUUAUUCAUGUGAGAAGGGCCCCGGCCGAAACCGGCCCAACCGGCCCACACUAGUGCCAGCCGGAACGAAUUUCCAGUCGUAGCUUGUGUGGGCCGAAACCAGCGGCUGGUCAGGUCCCUUCUCGGCCGAAACGAGCGACCGGCCAGGGCAUCUGAAUGCACCUUUUUUUCCGUACCUGAAACGGUCGCUUCCGAUCUUCGAUUUCUUCUUCAGAUCAACGUUUGAGAGUGUUUGUGAGAGAUUGUGAGUGUUGAUUGUGUUUGAGUUAGUCAAUAUACACAACUUCUUAUAUGGAUUUCGAUUUUAUGAAAGGAUAAUAUUAUCAUUUACUCAAGUUACUGCGUCCUUUAACUCGAAUGUUAGGGCGUCAAAUAGAGAUUUAUAAAAAAAAUUAAAUUCUAUUUUUUUAACAAAAAAAAUAAAAGAAAGUAUAUCAUGUAUAAUACAUUUAAAAAAAAAAGGUAGCCAGGUAAGUGGUUGAAACAUGGUUUUCACAAUCAUAUUGAUAUGUAGAAUCAGUGAGUUUAUCAAAAGCCCUCAACUGUCAUAUCGCUAAGCGGGAUGGUAGCAGCAGCAGCAGCAUACGCCCGUCACAUAAUUUGCCAAUCUCACACACACACAUAUAUAUAUAUAUAGCAAAGAAACCCAUUAAAUAAAGAUGUAAGAUGUAAUGAGAGUAGCCAAAUUUUAUUCAAUUUAUCUAUGAUCCACUAAAUAGGCUUAAAACGCAAUCAAAAUGUAUUCUCGACACUAACACUAAAUUUUAUCUCUACGAAUAAGAAACAUCAUAUCAAUCGCUUUAACGUCCUCUGCGUUAUCUAUCUUUGUAAAAGUAUCGUCAACCUUUGCAGUUGAUAAAAGCAUUUUCUCGAGAUUUAACACGCAGCAUGUAUUAUAAAAUAUGGAACGUACGUAACUCGUUGAGACUUGAGGAGCAAGCAAGGAUAACCUGUUCAAGUCUAUUACAUCUUACUACUGCCUCCACACGGAUCACACCAUACAUUCAGGAAUCAAGUUCACAGAUUGUCUUAAUGAAGAUAGAAAUAUAACAUUCCGCAACACUAGAUAUAUUAUCAACCUUCAUAUUGAAUUCUACCUCCGGAAAUCACAAACAUCAUAUCGACCGAUGGAUGAUGAUUUCGAUAAAUCAUCGAGUCAUCAACGCUCGUUAUCUCCACAUCUUUAAAGUGGUGUCGCCAACACUUGCAGUCAUUGGAUUAUAACGGGAUUAGGGUGAGGGGACAAAUAGAGGUUGCUUCCGCUGUUAUCGAUUUUUUCAAAUCUUUGUACUCGGAACCACACUCUAGUAGGGUGUUUCCGGAGGAGAUUGAGUUUCACAGGGUUCCUCAAGAGUCGAAUAGUGUCCUGUGUGGGGCUUUUACAGAGGAUGAGAUUGCUUUGGCGGUUCGCAAUUGUGCCGGGGACAAAGCACCCGGAAGCACCCUUCCCAUACGGUUUCUCCAUAGACUUUUUCAAGAGAUAUUGGAGUAUGGUGAAAGCUGACGUGUGUGUUGCAUUCCAAGAAUUUUUUGAGUGUGCUUCUCUCCCACACGCGGCUAACAGUUCCUUCGUGGUCCUUAUCCCGAAAAAGGAUACAGUUGAGGAGUUUAAGGAGCUGCGCCCUAUCUGUUUAGUGGGUUGUUUUUACAAGAUGUUAUCUAAGGUGCUGAUGACCCGGCUUAAGAGAUGGAUGCCACAUGUGAUCUCACAACAACAAUGUGCUUUCGUUCCUGACAGGCAUAUCUUAGAUGCCUCCUUAAUAGCUAACGAGCUCAUCGACUCAAGAAUCAAAGGGGGGCGUCCAGGUUUAGUGUUCAAAGUAGAUAUUGAAAAGGCUUAUGAUCAUGUCAACUGGGAGUGUCUCUUUAGAGUGUUACAGAACAUGGGUUUUAGUACUAAGUGGAUUGACUGGAUAAGGGCUUGUGUGACUUCAGCUCACUUUUCUAUCUUGGUGAAUGGAGAAGCGUCCGGUUAUUUUCAGGGUUCUAGGGGGUUGCGUCAAGGAGACUCGCUUUCGCCUUAUCUCUUCCUCGUGGUUAUGGAGGUGCUUUCUGGUAUUCUUCAUAAGCUUCAGUCUGUAGGAUUGUUGAGUGGUUUCUUCAUGAAUGACUCCCUCAGAUUGGGUUUGGUCUCUCAUAUUUUGUAUGCGGAUGAUGCCAUGCUGUUUUGUGAUGCCACUACCGAACAGGUGCGGAUUCUAGUUGCUGCACUUAUAUGUUUUGAGAGCAUCACCGGUUUAAAGGUGAAUCUGCACAAGUCCUCUAUGUUUGUGAUUGGAGAAGUGGUGGAUGCCGCGUCAUGCGCCAACAUUUUUGGUUGCGAAAUUGAAACUUUGCCUACCUCCUAUUUGGGUCUCCCGCUUGGAGCCCACAGCAGUAAAGCGAGUCUUUGGGAUCCAGUCUUGCACAAUCUUGAAAGGAAGUUGGAGGGGUGGAAGGCAAGGCACCUGUCGUUUGGUGCAAGGACUACUUUAUUGCAAAGUGUGCUUUCUAGCCUACCAGUUUACUUCAUGUCGUUGUACAAAGCGCCUAGCUCGGUUAUUGCUAAAGUGGAAAAGUUACAAAGAAGGUUUCUGUGGUCGGGCACAAAUGAUAAGGAUAUGAUUCAUUGGAUUAAUUGGGACUUGGUUAAAACUUCUAAGAGGCGAGGAGGUCUUGGUAUUCAAGAUAUGAAGAGCCUGAAUUUGGCUUUGUUGGGGAAGUGGGUGUGGAGAUAUGCAGUUGAGAGAUCGGCGUGGUGGCGAACCCUGAUUGUGGCUAAGUGUGGUGAGGGCCCAUCUUCGUGGCAACCAGUUUGGAAUUUGCGUCAGACUGGUCUUUCAGUGUGGAAAUGGAUCGUCCUUCAUAGUUCUAGUUUCUGGUCUCACGGUUACAUUGAUCCUGGGGGAGGUUUUUGUGCAUUUUGGUUUGAUUUUUGGGUGCCGGGUGUGAGGUUGUCGAGUCUCUAUCCAAGAAUUGCGGCUGCAGCCCAAUUUUUAGAUAGUCUAGUGUCGGAUAUGUUUGAGGUACAUGACGGUAGAGUUUGGAGCAUUCCUUUGCAGGUUGUUUUGAGAGGUGGUGCUUUGGACGAAUGGAAUCGACUCAUCCAACAUCUCGAUUCCAUUCCCGAAGACACUAUCACGGCUGGCCCCGCGAGCAUUGUGUGGCCCUUGGAGCUGGCAGGGGUUUUCUCGGUGAGAUCCUACAGAGCAGCUCUCUCGGUGCAGAGAUUUCCUGGUUCCAACCACUUCCCGCAUGACAUGGUAUGGAGUAAUAUUGUUCCGUCAAAGAUUCAAAAUUUCAUUUGGAUGGUUUUUCAUGGGAAGAUUGCCACUAUUGACAAUCUUCAACGUAGAGGGUUUCAUAUGGUCGGAAGGUGUGUGAUGUGCAACCGUCAUUAUGAGUCGGUUGACCACCUCUUCCUUGGUUGUGAUUUUUCUGGCACUAUUUGGAAUCGUCUUAGUUCGGCACUUUCCUUAAUAGGACCGUUCCAUGAUGAUGUGGUCAGUUUCUUACUAGCGUGGAAAGGUAUGAACUGUAUUGCUAAUUUCAAGGGUGUCAUGAAGGUGUUGUUACAUGCUACGUUUUGGUGUAUUUGGACGGAGCGGAACCAUCGUAUCUUUAGAGAGGAGUUUAGAUCGCCGAUCCAAAUUUUCACAGAGCAAGUCAGUCAGGUCAAUCUUCGUCUCUUCCACCUAGGUUGAUAGAGAUUGAGCAACUAUAUUCUACGAUGAAACGCGGUUCGGGACUUGGUAAAAUGAUUGGUUGGAUAUGAUUUUUUGUUUCAGAUUUGAUCUCACCAAACCAAAAUGUGAAAGGGGGUCUGAGAUUCAAAAACUUUAAACUGUUGCAUCUGGCGCCUUUUAUCAAAAAAAAAAAAAACACUUGCAGUCAUUGGGACACUUCUCGAGAUUUUCCCUUGCAAUUUGCUCGGUGAUAUACUGUAUGGAUGUUGCAAUAGGAAAACAAGUUACAAGUCUAUUCGAUAUGAUCCACAUUCAUUCAUUCAUUCCUGCAAGUAAAUCACCAAUAUGGACUCACCGGGAAUAGACAACUGUCGCAACUUGACCGAGCUAUGGACAUCCUCUUCGGAUGGAGCAUCCAUAAAAGACCAUCAACAAGACGAUUUUUAUCAACCUCGUUGAAAUAUGGAUCUGGUCUAUUCAAAGGCGGCAAAUAAAUCCACAUAAGUAAAUGUUGGACCGUUAUAGGAGUUGCUUCACAACAUCCGACUUGACUCAUAUCCAACUCUGAAACCUUUGUGAGGUUGAAGACAUCCAGCUUGAAAACCAGGCGGCGAAAACAACCAGUAGCCAAUAAUGCUGCCAUACACUUGCUCAACUCGAUGAACCAACUGGUUGUUAUCCUGCGGCCGGGAGGAACAUUACAGUCAAAUACACAUCGGCAGUUCGGAGCUACAUUGACAACAGUGGAGUUGAUUUUGAGCAGAGAGGUUCUGAUGGUUAGACUUGUCAGAUUAGGAGCAUCAAUCUCAAAUUCCAUCAAACAGGCUAGAGUUAAUUCCCAGAGUGUACCACUCGAAAUCUUUACCCUAUUGUGGCUUGAGAUGUUUGCUGCAUUCAAGUAGAGAGACUCGAGAGAUGGGAACUUGGAAAUCAAUUCCUCGAGGGUGCUGCCGCUAAUUUUGCCCUCAGGUGAAAGCUUUACUGAUUUUACACUUGGAGCUGAAACUACUUUCAGGGUCUCACAGCUUCCUUUGAAGUGAAAAGUCUGGACAGUGGCUGAGUUGAGCUGCAGUGAUACGCAGCGGAAAUCGUUAUCAAAGGAAAGAGAUAUCAACCUGGGGAAAUUAGAAGCAGAGAUAUCAAUAUCCAAGCUAUCGAUGCUCUCGAUGAUUUCUUUCAAACUCAAUUUCUCAAGAUGAUGAGCAUUAGCCAGGCAGCUAGGAAAGCUCCGUUUGCUAACCCGGACGUUUUCCAGAAUGAGUUCCUCGAGAUUGUCGAGACGGGUCUUGUGCAAUCGGCUUAGGUCGAAACCUUUCAGUUCGAGGAAUUUGGUGUGGCUGCAAUUAAAAAGCAUUCUUCCUUCAAGGUAACCAAGGAAAUUGACAGCUUUAAUCACGACUUUAAGAGGGGAUUUGCUGCUGCCAUCAUCCUCGCCUAUCGACGCUGAUGACAGCAACUGGUACAACAAAUGCUGAUUUUCCAAACGUGGCACUGUGAUGGUGAAUGAAUCCAAAAGUACCGGUACCUCUUGCAGCCUCCUAGAAGUAGUAGCAGCAAAGCUCUCGAACCUCUGUGAUUGGUUAGCAGCAAAGCUCUCCAACGUCUGUGAUCGGUCACCCGGAAACUCUACAACUGUGGAAAAGAGCCCUCUUCUGCUUCUUUUCGCCGCCGCUGGUAAGCUUGGAACGAUGAUUUCUUCCGCCGCCUUCUCCUCCAUCCUCCUCGCCAUGAUUGCUCUUUUCUUCUUUCUUCUGUGUUUGUUUUUGGUGUGCUUCGACGUCGCCAUGGAGAUCCGACUCUCAGAGCUCCAAGCGAAGAUGUUAACACGCAGCCACAAUUCGUCGUACGUCCACAGAGUAUUUAAAUUGAAAUAAGUUGGGCUCGGCUCACUCGUUCGGUUAAUUAAUUAAGCCCACGGCCCAUUCAAUCAAACAAACUGAAUCAACGUACGUGGGCUGUAGGGAGUCCAACUGCACUUCUCUUUCUAGUCUAAAAAUGUAUUUUUACCACAUUAUUAUUAACCUUGUGGCCGGAUUCAUAUAGUUUUUAUUUCUUUUAACUGUAAUGAAUAUACUUAUACUGUUUAUUUAAUUGGUUAAUUUAGAAAAAUAUUUUGAUACCUUAUAUGAAAUUUGAUAAAUAAAAUAGAUUAUUUGAUCAUAGUACUCAAAAAGGAAGAAACCGUAUUUAUGAGACAAAGGAGAAACCAGAUAAAUAACCCAUGGGAAGAGUAAAAAUUUCAUACUUGGAAGUAUCGAAGAUAGCAUUGAAGGUUUUGCUGUAGUCAUACUCGUUUCCUUCUUUAUAUCUCUGCAGCAAGAGAGGACGAAGAGCCACCGCCGUACAAGGGAACUCCCCGACUGAGUGAAGGGUAAUAAUGAGCCGAGCGAAAAUUGCUCCGGUUUUCUUCUCACUCGUCGAUAACAUUUCUAGCGGAAGGAAUCAUUCGUCGACAUCACACUGUUUUAAGCCGCAUAUGUACUGUUCUUGAGCAUUAAUUAAAUUAGAUUCUACUUUUUUUUCUUCCAAAACGAAUGCAUGUUAUUAAUAAUGAUCUUUAAAACAAACAUCACCAACAAAGCUGUUCAUCCAUGCUGGAGGGACGUAGCUAGUAAAAGGCUUCGUAGUAGUAAGUUAUCGCUGAGCAAGCUCAUAAGCAACAACAUUACUACACCUCCUAGUAAAAGAGACAGUAACAGAAUGAAAAACAUAAAAAACAGAUCGCCGAUGAUCAAUGAGGAUGCCAAACUCAGAGGAAUCAUGAUUCCUUGCCCGGACAGCUUGUGCCACCACUUGAGAGUCGGUUUUGAAAUGUACGUCCUCUUAGCCUUCCUCGAUGCACUAGAGAGCUGCAUGAACCAACGCCUCGGCCUCACACUCUUUCACUUCUAAAACGCUACGCCUAGAUCUUCCACCGUAACCCAAAAAAAAAAUUAAAUUCUACUUUUUUUAACAAAACAAUAAAAGAAAGUAUAUCAUGUAUAAUACAUUUUUAAAAAAAAAUUAGAUUCUACUGUUUUGGGUCUCGAAGACAGUGAGGGGCGAAAACUGCAAAGCCGGAUAGAUGUCGGAUGGACCUCCAUUUUUUAGCUGUAAAACUAAACAUAAGUUAACCAAGAUAAGAGACAAAAGCAAACAAAGAACCAAUCUUGGAGUUGCAGAAAAUGACGAUCACAGUGUGCAUGUUCCACAACAUAUGAUCCCAGGAAAUUACAUGUGACCGGAAUAAAUCUCUGGCAAAUCUUCACAAUAAACUUGUCGGAUAGAUCAGUGUCAUCUUCUUCACUAACAAAUAGUAACUGCAAAGUCAUUAGACAGCUGUGUAAGCAUACAAACAAGUGAACAACUGGAUUGUGUUGAAGAAGAGAAAUCCUCUCUUAACAUUAUAAAGUACCUUGAAAGAUGAGUAUAGCAAUAUUCCCGCCAGGAGUAGGUUGACUGCCUCAAAUCUCUGCAACAACAAAAAUAACAAAAUUGUGCAGAAAGGCCUCCUACUGAUAAUUCGAUAACAAUGCUCAAGAUUCUGUAAACGAUGAUUGAGAUCUUCAAACAUCAAUAUAAUCAAUGCUUAGUGUUUACUUGAAGAGUGACCGUUCCAAGAAGUAUCAACGACAAACGAAAGAUGAUUGCACCAGCAAUACCAUACGAAAGCACUCGAUUCUGCAGUUCACAUAACCGAAGGUUCCAUUUCUAUUUAACAUCAUGCUGUGCCACGGAACAAUACUCAAUUAGGUGAAGAGAUACGUACAUCUCACCUGAUACUGUUAGACAUAAGUAAACCAAAUAACCCAUUCGUUAUCCAUUUGAAAUCUUUUUUUCUGGUAAAAUCUACUUGCAACUUAUGUCAUAAGUUUGUUUAAAAAAACGAGUAAUCUGUCUGUUAAUAAUUGUAACCGUAUUUCCCUUAUUGGGCCUCCAAGGUUCCAGCCCAGAUGUUGUAUCUGAGAAUUUGAAAUUCACAGUUUCUGGCCCAGCUCACCUAACUGGAACAAAAUAUCUCAGCGAAUCACGCGUGCCUGUUUCGUAUUCUUUUUCCAAUUUCCCACGGAUCGUCGCUCAGUACCUCUCAUGCCAGCAUUAAACUCGCGAGACACGACGCUGAAAUCGGACAGACAGCCCUAAUCGCUCCUCCAUCUCUCCUCUCACCUACUCGUCAUUCGUCAAUGGCAAACGAAACCGAUCUACCAAUCGCCGUCGCCGUUACCAACGGUGGUUCUGAAGCUACCCUUGUCAAAGAACCUUCUUCCACGAAGCCUAUUGGAGGAGUCGUACCACCGUCCGACGAUGUUUUAGGUAAGGAAUAUGGGGAGGAUAAGGGCGGGUUGGAUUCGGCGAGCAAGACUGCCGCCUCUGUGUCGGAAAGUACCGACUCCGUCACGGACACGGAGAAGAAAAUCCGACGAGCUGAGCGAUUUGGAAUUUCUGUGAAGUUGUCUGAGGAAGAGAAGCGCAGCUCUCGUAUUGAAAGGUGCCUCUAAUUUACUGCUUUCUUUCUGUCGAUUCUUGCAAUUGGUUUGUUUGCAUUUGAGAUUAGGGUUUGGAGGAUUUUAAUAUUUAAAUUGAGACGAUGCUGCUAGCUGGAUUGGGGGUUUCAGACUUUUCAUAGAAUGUGUUUUCGCUUAACCUGAGAAAUUGCCAAAUUUUUCAGUGUUCACUUGCAUAGAUUCCUCCACGACUCGUGAAUACAUCCUCCAUUUUCCAUUUGGUUAACUAGCAUGCGUAGUUUGAACUGUAUGCAUGUGGUUCUGACCGAUUGGGUUAUUAUUGGGAUUGCUGGUAUAGGAUGAUAGUUUGUCUCCUGCAUGAUUCUGUUCCCCCUUUUGAUCAUGUGCUCACGAGCCUACUCUUGCAGGUUUGGUACUCCAUCGGUGAAGCAAGGUUCUGCUGGACCGAAGAAUUCAGAGGAGUUGAAAAGGAAGUCUAGGGCAGAGAGGUUUCUUAUGUUCCAAUUUUUUGGUUUCUAUUUACGUAGCUUGCCAGAUUCCAGCUUGUUGAUUCUAAUGAUAUUUGCUUCGUAGAUUUGGGCUGCCUGUACCAGCUGAACCAACUGCACCAACUGAUGCUGAAGCAAAGAAGAAAGCUCGGCUGGAGAGAUUUGGAUCGAUACCCAAACCCAAUGCAGUUGAAGAAGACAAGAAGAAAGCCAGGGCUCUCAGGUUUGUGUCUCUUGAAACUUUUUUCUUCUCCUUGGUUAGGUCAUAGGUGUCAAUGUUUUUGGUCUCUCAACUUAUGUAACUGCAUUCAUUAUAGGUUUGCACAACCUUCUUCAACUUCAAUCACCGGAGAGGGUGAUGUUCAGCCAGUAAGACCAUUGGAUCAGUGUUACUUUUGUAUUUGGACAUAGUUGUAUCUCAUGUGAUCUCAGUUUAGUUACUGUUUAUUGAUUUUAUCAGAAGGAAGCAAUCGCUUGAAAGGCUGGUAGAGGGCCAUGAACAUGAAGUUCCCCUUCACUUAAUGUUAGGUAUUAUUUCUUCUUAUAUGCGCCUCUUUUUGGAUUUUAUACAUGGAUCUUGAGAUUCAAUUGUUUCAAGUAUUUUUUAUAGCCUUUGCAAUUCAUUGUGAGUAAUUGAUACAGUUUCUCUUCUGACUGUAUCUUUUGUAGUUUUGUAUUUACAGGUCUGGUAUUCCGACUGGCGGUUGACUAAGUGGAUCCUGUAUCGGUCUUUUUUAUUAUGAAGCGUUGGCUGUAAGCAUUAACAGUGUUCUUCGUUUGGCUCACCGGAUGCUUUAGAAGACCUCCUGCAGUAUGUUAGUGAUAGAGUAGAAUUAUUUUCAGUUUGAUAUCUUGGGAUACCGAUGCUUUCUGGGGCCUGGAGGGAUCAACAACUACCUGGAGUGUUCACUGCUUGCAACAGCCUUGAUAGUAUAAAGACUUCUGACUAGCUUUAGGUGUUUUCUAUAACUCUUAAAUCUUUGAGUGUCACCGAACUAUCUAGCCAUGUUUAUAUGCAACCAAUUAAACAUCAUAGGAAUUAGUUGGGUUUGCAUCUCAUGCAUAACUAUCUUGCUCUGUAGGUAAUUAUGAACAUGAACUGCGUGAAUCUGGCUGGAAAGUGGUUAUAGUAAUCAUGUGCUAGUGGUAUUAUGGGCUCUCAUUGUCUGUUCUAUCGUUUUCUGCUAAGCUUUUACAUCUCAUCAUAUCUAUCAUGGUUCUUUCUUGAGGUUCAAAGUUUUCGGGGUGGAAACUUAUAGCCACGGGUUUGUUAAUUCUGUGGAAUAUUGCGUUGAAUCUGAUGUUUGCAGUACAGUGAACGAGAGUCUUGUCUAGGUUAGGAUGAAAGAUGCACAUCUCAUCAUAUCAUGGUUCUUUCUUGAGGUUCAUGUCUGAGUUUUACUUAUCUGAAAUCUGCUUGGACUAAUCUAAGGAACUUGUUGUAUAUCUGAGAUGGAUUGUGGUGGUGUUUCUUUGUGUUUCUUGUUUUGCUCGAGUCUCUUAUAUUAUCCAGUCUAUUGGAAAGUAAUGAACACUCGGAAAGGUAUAGUUGAUUUCAUGCUGACCCCAGCCCCCCUGUGGUGAAUCUCCGUAGCAGAAAGGUGUUGUUUCCAUGGAGAAGUAAACAUUUUGGUAUCGGCAUUAGUCUGUAAUGGUUGACAGAAUAUUGUAAUCCUUUAUUUUUAAUAGUAUUAGUAUGGAUAUUUGAUAAUGGAAAUCCUCCCAUUAUGUCUGUUUAUUUUAUUUGGUCCUCCUUCGUCAUUGUUGCUCUUUAGUACUGGAAAAUGAAAUACAACGAUCUUGAACGGCGUACGGAUGUACAGUUCGAAUUCAGCAUGGAUUGAUUCACUGCUCUGCGCGAUCCGAAUAUUCUGCAUAUUACACACUAAAAUGCUACUUAUGGUGGACGAGGUUUAUUCACCCGCAACCGUAUUGCCAGCCUGUUUCCAUAAAAAAGGACUUGUGGCAGUUGAAAUCGGUCAAUGUUGGGAGACGCCUGCUUUGAUUGAGUAAGGCACACAACUCGGUCGGAGAGGACUCCUACUGACCGAAUCAUAGUCUAUGAACACGACGAUCACUGUUAUAUCGUCGUGGAAAUGUCUUCGAACUCCUGGAUCAAUCUUCUGGAGGUCUGUGUAUCUCAUCUCUCUCUUCCUGGCAGCUUCAUGGAGUGCUGCUUUCAUUAGCCUCUUCGCAAUCCCCUGCAAUAUUGAGUUCGACGAACUUUCAUUACCAGGUAGAGGAAAGUUUAGGGGCAUUGAUGUAUGUCUUUUCUUUCCUUACAUUGCGUGGGAAUCUUUGGACGAUGUCAACUGCUUCCUGGUUGCUGAGCUGUUCCCAUAGGCCAUCGGAAGCGAAAAUUACAAACCGAUCCUCUGGUUCAAACCUGUGGACUGUCACCUCAGGCUCGGAGCUAAGUAUCGGCUUCUCGAAUGUCUCAGUCAGUCUGAACUUGGGAAGCAGGGGAUCUCUCUGGAACUCUGCCUUCUUCAGGUAUGCGUCUCCGAUAGAUCUCGACACCUGAACAGACAGAACACAACAUCAACAUAAACGAAUCCGUAAAAACUUCAGAAUGCGAAAAUUUGAUUUUAUGUUUUCAAACCUGGAUGAGGCCCCUGACUCGCCAACUCUUAUGCUUCAGGACAACAACCUGCGAAUCCUCAGGAUGCAAAGCACGGAGCUCUUCCCUAACGGAUUCGAUAUUCACGUUAUGCUCAUUGCACAGCUGGACCGCUGAAGCUCUAUGGCUACCCAUCUCCACUCUCCCCAACACAGCUUUGGAGUCUCCGGCAUUAGCCACGUACAGCAUUCCGUAGCAGAAUACUCCGGCCAGGCAACACGAACCGGAGGAUGCAAUCUGAGGAGUACUCGUCCACCGCUUUUUAAUCAUUGACAGGAAAUCCUUUUCUGUCGCGGAGAACGCCUUCUUCAGUGUUGACUCGGUCACUCCCCCCUGCUCCGACACCAAAUCUAACCAACCCCAUAUAGUUUAUAUCAGAAGUAUUCAAGGAAGAAUGAAAAAUGCAGUGAAUCGUUUGUUCUGUCAAAAUCCGUUGUAUCUCAAUACUUUAAGUUGUUGGGAAAGAUCCAAAAUUGAGUUUUUAUAUUAUUUAUUAACGUAACAGGAUCAUGGGCGAUUUACGCUUACUUUUGAGAUUGAAGAAGAGAUUGUUGCUGACAAAUUUGGAAGCUUGAGGCCCUCCAUGUCCAUCGUAGACUCCGACGAAAGUGCCCAAUGGUCCAGAUUCGAGCUGGCUGUAAUCUUCCAACACACCAUUGGCUUGAAUCACAGCCAUAGAGAAAUAUCCAUAAGCGUGGCUACCUAAAUCCUUAUGCCACAUAAGUCCAUCCACCUUCCCCACUGUAUCAUCACCCUCCAUGCAACCUCUCCAACACGGCUUACCCAUUUUUGCUUUGCUUUACAAUUACCCUCAGAUGGGUAAACUAUUUAUCAUGAACUCUCUCUCUCUCUCCGUAAGCAAUAAAUGGAGAGAAAAGAACAAAUGGGUAUGGGCUAAAAUUAACAAGUGAGAUAUGAAGGAGCAGCAGCAAACAAGGCAGUGGUCACACUCUGACAGACAUGUAUGAUCCUGAGAGUUAGUUUGAGAGAAUUUGGGGGCAAAGGGACGAUCUUGGAUGUACCUUGAAUGUGGUGAAGGUGUUGUUUGUGGGGGGUGACAUGUCUCAGACUCAGAGACAAAAGCUUAGCUGUAAAAAGGAAGACAUGACAUGGAACCAGAAGGGUAUUGGCAGAAUGUUUGGUCUGUGUAAUCUGAGAGAUAAGGCCGCAGGGGGUAUAAAUUAAGAGGAAUGGGUUGAUGAUAACAAUAACGAAAAGACAAGUAUUGGUUUGGUUUACAAGAAGGUUAUACUACGUAGACUGGAGUCCUCUCUGUGGUUGUGUUGUGUUUUAUUAUGUGUCUUGUCUGGGGGCUCUUCUUGCUUGGAGUGUUCCGUCUAUAUAUGGUUUCUGCUGAGUGUCUUGCACUCUGUAACUUCACUUCUAACAGUUUCUUUUAAGGAAUUUAAUGGGGUCAAAUAUUCCAGAUUUCCACUUCAUUUUGACGUCUAUUUUGGCAAUAAUAAUCCACCGUUUUUGGGCAUUAUGUUUUUUUUUAUCCAAAACCAAGAGUUUUUCUGUGCUUUUUAGCCAAGGAAGGAUCUAAUCAUGUGAGGAUAAUUGACCUCAAGUUCGGUUCGGCUAAUUUUGUUCGAGUUCGAGGUUAAUUGGCUCAUUUGCAAGUUUUAACAAGCGGAGUUCAUUAUAGUCUAAUUACGUUACUAAAUAUUGAGACAAAAAUUCAAAUUAUUAAGAUCUCUAAAACCAACUCGCGAGCUAUACUAGUCGAGUCAACUCUCGAAGCUCAAUCGAGUUGGUAAUCAAGCCUCAAAAGAGCUGGUUUGUGAGAUAGGCUCAUCGAGCCUGCUUAUUUAAAACCGAGCCAAGACCGAGUGAUUGACCGCGAUAAUAAACUCAGCCCUCGACUCAUAAUAGUUAAGGUUGACUCAAUCUCGGCUCGUUUCGUCUAAAACCGAGUUGAGUUUCAAUUGAGUUUUUUUAGAACCAAAACACCAGUCUACUAGUUGCGAGCAGGUUCAUUAGUCAACAUCCCCAGCUAAUUAUCCAAGCAUGGUACCUAGAAUUGAUAACCAAAAUGACCCACCAACCCCAAUUAUACAGAAAGUAGUUGGAGUAUUUGGUUGAGCGAGUUGCUGCUGCUGAUGCAUGGAGAGCAAAAGAUGGGCAAGUUUGAAAAAAAUGGGAAACAACAAACAGUCAGAAAGCGAAACAAUAGAACCAGUUUCCUCUGCAUGGGUCUCUCUCCCUUUUUCUCAGCUGUUGAAGCUAAUCCUAUUUCUCCCCAACUGCAACCCAGCUCCUAUACUAUCUAUAUAUGGGUCCAUCUGGGAACUACUUUUUUGGAUUGAUACUACUUGUGCUGCUGACAAAUGCUGCAGAUACAAUGAACUCAAAUCAAUGGAACAUCUUUUCCAUGGAUUCUAACAGCUCACUUCAUUUUGUUUCAUAUGCCCACCGCCACCACCAACCUUACUAAUUGUAUUCUGACGAUAUGCAGGCCAUGAUGAACUACUUAGUGUGUAUAUAAACACAGCUAGCUAGCUAGCUAGAUGCGUGUUAUCCUUCGUUCAUCAUCCCUUCCCACAAAUUUGAGUUUUAGUCUUAAUUAUCAUGUGUCUGCAUCAGAUUGCAGAUUUGGAAAAAUCAAGAAAGAUGAUAUUCAGUGGGGGAACCAUGAGUAAAACGUUGGGGUGGAGAAUUUUGAAUCUGAGAGACGAGAAUUAUAAUUACAGUUUAACUAAAUACUAUGUAAAAAUAUACCAAGAAAUUAUAGACAAACAAAAACAAAAAUUUGGCCAAAACUUCGAACGGGCAUAUAUUAUAAACCGCUAUUGCACUGUCAUUAAAUCGAAAUUUUACAUCAUUAUUUUGACGAGUAUUGUCGAUAAUUUUCUCUCCCAAAACAGAUGUUUGAAUUAAUUUACGGCUUGCUAUCAAGGCUAAUUGUGAAAAAUAUUUAAAAAUUGACAUUAGAUCAUAAAAGAAUCUAUCGUGAAACCAAUUGUGGAGUGGAUUAUUUGGCUAAUCAAGGCUACUUUUUCUUAUAUAAUUCUUAUUUUUUCGAUUUGCUAGAUCGAAAUCUGUCUCACUGGCUAAACUAUAACAUUAUUAGGAUUUCUCUCCCACAAUUUAUUCCGAUUACUUCUAAUAAUAUUUAAGUUCACCCAAACAAUUUGUUCCGAAUGCUUAGUUUUGGGUUUGAGCGGAUGGGUUCAUGUUAAGGAGGGCCCAAACAGAAGUGGUCCGUUCGGUCCAGAUUCCAGAAGGAUGCAGCACCUGUAUGUCGUUUACUACCAUGGAAGAUGGUCCCUUUUGCGAACGUGGCAGCCGUGAGUGCCAUGCUCCCUCACUUCUUAGGGAUGGCAAAGACAAAAAUAUUCGAUCCUAUCUGAUUUUCUAUUGAACAUUUUGGGGCAGCAGGCAAUUUGCGGGAAUAGAACCGGUAACAAUAAUAACUAAGAACAAAGUAAACACUUCAAGACUUCAGCCUCAAAUCGCAAAACUCUUGAUCGCCGGGUAGGCUCCGACCUUCUCGCUGAGGGUACGUACGCAGAUGCUGGGAAGUUUCCUUGCCGAUCGCCGAUCUUAUCGCUUGCAACUCCACGCCAAGGGUUCUCGAGCUGCUGCUAAUUCGUUCGUAUGUCGCGAGAUCCUUUUCAGGCUUGAUGGGCUUCAACCCAAUUUUGGCUUUGGGCUUCUUAACCUGCAGAAAGAGAACACAAGCCCAAUCGUUAUAAUUUUUCGAGUAAUAUAACAUCAAUCUUGAUAUAUUUUAAAAAAAAUUAUUUAAUAUCAAAAUCAACAAUCAAUAAUAUAUACAAGAUUUAUUAUCAACUAUAUCUAAUCACCUUUAUUUUUUUACAUAUAUAUACUUAUCAGGUCUAUGUGUUACAUAUAUAUAUANNNNNNNNNNNNNNNNNNNNNNNNNNNNNNNNNNNNNNNNNNNNNNNNNNNNNNNNNNNNNNNNNNNNNNNNNNNNNNNNNNNNNNNNNNNNNNNNNNNNNNNNNNNNNUUAUAAAUAUCUGAAAAAUCAAAAGUGACACGUCAAUUUAUACUACAAUAUGGUGUUGCCCUACUAAAACUAAGUAAAUUAAAAUAUAUUUAUGUAUAUAUUAUAACAUUAAAUUAGGGGAUUGAUUAUAAAUAUUUAUGUUCCCUUAAUUUAUUUUUUGGUUCAAUCUUAUAAUUAUAUCUUAAAAAAAUAAAAAUUAUAUGUGUCCGUCGAAACUGGGUAAGACACUACUUUCAAUUUAUACUAAGACACUAAUUUAAAUUUAGACAGUUAAAUUUAUUAUUGGACUCGUCCUUCAAGUAAAAUUAUAUUAAAAUGUCAAGACUUAAAAAGAGUGGAAUUUAAUUAGCUAGAUUGAUCACAAGGAAAAUAUACAGUGACAGUUUCAAUUUCACCAGCACCAUAAUUUAAGUUCGUAAAUAGCAAUCAAAACGAAAAUUACUUCCACGUUGGAUAUUUCGAGUUGUAUAUAAUUUUUAUCCACGUGUCACAGAUCCAACGCCUCUUGAACAGGAAAUGUCAGGGACCCCUCCCGGACUGAAUCCCAAACACCCCAACAAACCCUGUUUGUACGGCAGGAAAGUUUUCCUCCUCAUCUCCUCCGCCGCCGCUCUGUUCGUCGUGUAAUGCAUCUCAUGCGCUGACACCGCCGCCCUCAUACGCCGCGAACUCCCCAAGCUCUCCGUCGACCGGAAGCUUGAACUCUUCGCAUCCUCUGCCGCCGCCAAUGUUGACUCCGACCUCCUCGACAGCACCGCGUACUUGAUCUCCGACGAUUGGAAACUCGUCGCCCUCCCUUCCGAAGCGCUCCUGAACAGCAACAAAUCCCUCAGCUUCCACUUCUUGUACGGCCUUCCUCCUUUGGCAAACGAGAUAGCCGACAGAAAAGCCGCUGCGUACGACUGUUUACCGGUGGUCCCUGACGAUGACGUGGCGCCGUCAUCAACCAACAUUUCGCCGGAGACUCUCAUAGGCGACAUAGACCUGCUAAUCCCCCGCCGACCGCCGGCGUGAGAGUUCGAAUUGAAAUUAGGAUCAUAAUCGAUGGACGAAGAAGAACUAAUCGCUCUCCUUUCUCUUCCUCGCUGGUCCAAUUCCUGUUUGUCGUCUCGAUUCCGCGUCUCGUCGAUAGCAGUCUGGAAAGGAUCGAAUUCCUUUUUCUUCGAAGAUUUCGAAUUCGAUUUCGGCGAGCGGGGAGAAGUGGCGGAGGAUUCAUACCCCGGAGGAGGUUUCAGCGGCCGGAUUUUGCCGCCGUAGAAAAGCUCAUCGGCGGCGGACAAAGAGCUCCUGGACAACUGGCCGCUGAAAUCGAAUUCGAAAUCAUCUUCGUCGUCGUCGUCGUCAUAGAAUUCAGUACUCUUGGAUCUGGUUCCGUUUCUCUUGGGAGUUCCGGGCUUCUCUUCCCACUCGAAAGGAACGCCGCCGCCGGCGGCGGAGGAAGAGGAAGAGAAGUUGGUGGCUAAACGUUGAGGGGUGGAAGGAGCGGUGAGGUAAGGGGUAGAGGAAGAGCUGUCAAAGUUGAACUCCGUUGCAGUGGCGGCGGAAGGUGGCGGUAUUGGCAUUACUACCUCCAUUUGGAAGCAGAGGUUGAAAACAGAGCACACAGGGGUUUUGUGAAUAAGAAGAAAGUUUUGAAUUGGGGAAGAAGAAGAUGAAGACGUUAGUUAUUUAGGGGGCCUGAAUAGAAGUGAAAUACGGCUCUUUGUGAAGCCGCCUGUAAUUACAUUUAAUCAAAUUUUUAAUAAAUAACAUGUUUGUUGUACUGAUUUUUAAUCGUUUAUAAUUUUUGAUCUCAUAAUUAUAUUCGAUUACGAAACUUAAUCAGUUAAUCCAUAGUUUGUAAAGCAUCCCAAUCUUUGAAUCUUUUACAUUUUUGUAAGUGUCGAGGGUUUUAAAUUUUGAUACGCCAAAUAAGGCCUAAAUUUAAUUGAUAGUAAUUAUAGUUGAAACAUCUUUGGAAUUCAAGUAAAUAUAAAAAAUAUGGAUUAUAUAGUGUGUAUUUUCCUCUAUCUAACUUCAAUAAGAAAAUAUAAAAAAGAUGAACUAAUAANNNNNNNNNNNNNNNNNNNNNNNNNNNNNNNNNNNNNNNNNNNNNNNNNNNNNNNNNNNNNNNNNNNNNNNNNNNNNNNNNNNNNNNNNNNNNNNNNNNNNNNNNNNNNNNNNNNNNNNNNNNNNNNNNNNNNNNNNNNNNNNNNNNNNNNNNNNNNNNNNNNNNNNNNNNNNNNNNNNNNNNNNNNNNNNNNNNNNNNNNNNNNNNNNNNNNNNNNNNNNNNNNNNNNNNNNNNNNNNNNNNNNNNNNNNNNNNNNNNNNNNNNNNNNNNNNNNNNNNNNNNNNNNNNNNNNNNNNNNNNNNNNNNNNNNNNNNNNNNNNNNNNNNNNNNNNNNNNNNNNNNNNNNNNNNNNNNNNNNNNNNNNNNNNNNNNNNNNNNNNNNNNNNNNNNNNNNNNNNNNNNNNNNNNNNNNNNNNNNNNNNNNNNNNNNNNNNNNNNNNNNNNNNNNNNNNNNNNNNNNNNNNNNNNNNNNNNNNNNNNNNNNNNNNNNNNNNNNNNNNNNNNNNNNNNNNNNNNNNNNNNNNNNNNNNNNNNNNNNNNNNNNNNNNNNNNNNNNNNNNNNNNNNNNNNNNNNNNNNNNNNNNNNNNNNNNNNNNNNNNNNNNNNNNNNNNNNNNNNNNNNNNNNNNNNNNNNNNNNNNNNNNNNNNNNNNNNNNNNNNNNNNNNNNNNNNNNNNNNNNNNNNNNNNNNNNNNNNNNNNNNNNNNNNNNNNNNNNNNNNNNNNNNNNNNNNNNNNNNNNNNNNNNNNNNNNNNNNNNNNNNNNNNNNNNNNNNAUAUAAUUCAUGCAGUUGACAAAUGUUGAAUACUCUCCCGGGAAAUUAUAAUGAUCUAUUUUUCAUCCUCGAAAACAUUUUAGGGUUUUUUAAAAGAAAAUAUUAAGGUCAUGGAUGCAAAAAUAAAAUAUAAAAACUGAAUUUGUAGUAUGUCUUUUUUCCACUUCACAGAUUCACUGCUUUUGGAGCUACUUGUGAUUAGGCAGGCUAUCUUUGUAGCAUAAUAGAUUUUUUUCUGUUUUUAGACACGGUAUGAAUUGUUCGUCUCAUUAAUUCGCGUAUUAUAGAUAUCCGCAUAGGAUAAUUAUUACCUGAAUGUCAAUUCCUUCUUCACUCCCUUCCACUCGUCUCCCUCACUCGUAUUGUUCCUCCAACUUUAUAACGUCUUUUAUUUUUCAUUUUUGUGUCAAGAUGUGUUACCUCAACUAAAAAAAAAACUUAGUUUUUUUUUUUGGUUUCAAACAACAACUUAGUUGGAAAAGUGGGAAAUAUAUAAAUGCCUAAAUGGUUGUAUGAAGAAGAAACUACAUAUAUAUAAAAAUACAACACAUGUCAAAUUGCUUAUUAGUUUUAGUUUUGGUUCAAUUUUGUUUUAAGAAAGAAAGCAAUGGCUUGGACUUUGGGGACAUACAUCCAUUCAAACCUUAGUCUUCCUAUUCUUGUUUGUUAUGUGUUCUUUGAUGACUUCUGUUUUGUUUGUUUGCAAUUCUGGUCAUCCUAUAUUCAUCACAUAGUCAUAACAGGACAAGCUGCAACCUUUAGUUGUCCUCUCUAAAAAAAUCUCAUCUAAUCGGAUGAACGGAUUUCUAACCAAAUGGUUUGUUUGUAAACUAUGUCAAAGUUGAGGGGUUAGAUCAUUUCAAUUUUUGAAUAGGGUGUCGAUGUAAAUUUUGCAUAAUACAAACGUGUAAAUGUGAUCUAUCCUCGAAACGACUACCUAUCAACUGAGUUAAAUAAAAUAUAUAUCUCCAAUCAAUUUGACUAUUGAUGGCAUAGCCCAGACUUUAAUACAACUAUCAAGUGUUGUUUGCCUUCUCAUUUCCAAAACUAACCCGUGACAUGACGAUUUCCUUUUUUUUUUAUCGUUGUACAUCCAAUUACCUAUUACCUUCUACAUCUAACGUAAGCAAUCCAGAUGGCUAAAAAACCAUACGGGAGAUCAAUCAAGUCAAGCUAGCAAUAUGAUGUACAAUGCUCAAACCAUUACAUAUCCAUAGUCGAACCGUAACUGAAUUGUAACAUUAUAUAAUUGUACCAAGACUACCGGUUCGUGUACAAUCGUCUCGAUUAAACCCUUAGGGUUUAUAUUUAAGUGUUUCAACUAGACCAAUCUUUCGAAAUUCGAAAUAAUCCAAAAUACAAAUAAAGUGACACAAAAUAGGAGAAACUUAAUAAAUUGAGAGAAUUAAAGUUGGGUGUUGUGGAGUAGUUGUUGAUUUGACAUUACAACAGUUGACACAUUGGUACGUGUGAAUUGAUGGCAUUUUGUUUAUAUAUGUAGAGGAGAAAGUAAUGGCUGGAGAGCCUGAAAGUAAGAUUCCUGCCUGCUUUACCCUAGCUGCUUCUGUUUCUCCUGAACAAUAUAAAUACAAGCAUGGAAUUCACAAGCUACUAAGCUAACCCUAUGGUGUCAAGGAUUCUGUAUUUCUAUGUAAAGUCAAAUCAGUCAAACUCACUGUCCAUCAUCAUCAUCAUCUCCCUGCAAUCUUCAUCAUCACCUUUACAUGUUUGUCGUACUCUAUAGAUCCCUACAUAGAAAACAGAACACUGAGAUACUGAAUAAUGAUAGGGCUGAAAGAUAGAAAAAUGAAAAGAGCAACAGUAAUAUACCAAUGGUCAAAGAACAUAGAUUUUCGGACCGAACGGGCGGAAGAACUCACUCCAUUAGCAGAGAAGACAGUCAGGAACAUCGGUCGGGUGAUUCUGUGUUUUCGCUGUCCUCUUUUUUUUUUCUCGAGCUAUGGCUACACGUUCUGUUUUAUCCUGAUCGAUGUAUGUCUUGUUCGCCACAAAACCCCCGAGGCUGCAGCUGCAACUGUAAAAUUCAGUAUCUGUAUGACGGAAACCACAAGGUACCUUGACUAAACUACACAUGCCAAGCACCCUAAGAAAUGGAGAUACUUUCUCGACAUAAAUGAUCUCCUAAAACCUAAAGGAGAGAUUAGGCUUUGGUUUUCAAAGUUCAAGUUUCCUUCACAAUGUAUCUAUCGGAGGUUAAGAAUACCGUAGGGGCUUGUUUUGUUUAACUGGUAAUUCGUAGGAUGUACUAGCAAACAUAUCUCAUGUUUUAUGUUUCCCUUUCCUAUCCAAACUUCGGUUCUUUUGCUUUCUUGUUAAACUGAAUACAGAGGAGCAUAUGAUUGUGGCAUUUGAGCUUGUUACAAUCUUCACGGAGAAAUUGAUAUGCAUGAACCAGAAACGGAAUGUUACGGUGGCAUCACAGUAAAAUAUAGAGCAAUUAGGUACCUCUUGACAGAUUGCACAAAUCACCACCUAGCUAGCAUCACUGCAUCAGAGUCAGUUCCUUUUACGAUAAUCUAAAAGCUGGAAUGAAAUAAUGGUUCCAUCAAUAACUAUUUAAUUGCUCAAUUUUUAUUUGACUGCAGAACUUACAUGGUCAAACUUCAGAAUGAACCUUGCUGAUGUCACUGGGAAUCUUACACGUUCGGGGCGGGGCAGCUUACUGAAGUCUUUGUCCACCGGAUAAAAAUUUCUCCAGAUAUCUGAGUCCACCCCAUUGCUGAUACAUAUUGUAGUGUUAUGUCGUCUCAAUUCAGUUCAAGCCCCAUUUGCAAUGGCAUCUAUUAAGCAGUCGUCUUCAUCCAUAUUAUCUUUUUCUUUCAUGUGCUGCCAUAACAGACCUAGAGUUCGAUGUGCCAACUCCAUAUGAAUGCCAACUGUAUCAUCCACGACAAAACUGUAUACUUCGUUUCUUACUUCAAUCCAACUCUUCCCCGAAACCUUCUUGCUCACAAUUUCCUUCAUCAAUCUCCUUGUCCUCGCAAACUCGUCCCAUUUACCUUCGGCUGCAUAAAUAUUUGACAGCAUGACAUAAGCACUGACCAUAUCUGGCUGCAAAUCCAACACCCUCAAGGCAGCUAAUUUACCCAAAUCUAGAAGGUUAUGGGUUUUACAGGCGCUAAGGAGCGCACCCCAAACAGAUUCGUCAGCUUUAAAUGGCAUGCUGUGUAUCAGCUGAUAGGCCUCCUCAACUCUCCCAGCUCUGCCCAACAAAUCCACAACACACCCAUAAAUUUCCUGAUUUGGCCUAAUUUUGUAGUGACCAAUCAUAGUAUUGAAAUACCUCAGGCCCUGGUCGACUAGUCCAGCAUGACUACAAGAACUCAAAACCGCCAUAAACACAAUCUGAUCAGGCCUGACAUCUGACCUCACCAUCUCCUCAAACAGCGCUACAGCCUCUAUACCAUAUCCAUGAGCCCCAUAUCCAAUCAUCAUAGAUGUCCAGGAAACCAAAUCUCUGGAAGACAUUUCACUGAAAAUUUUAUGUGCCUCACUUAUACUACCACACUUGGCAUACAUGUCUAUCAAAGCAUUAGCCAAUGCCAAGUUACUAGCAAGUUACUAUUAAUUCCUCUGCGAAUAAUUCCUCCAUGAACCUGUUGCCCACAACUCAGGACCGCCAGGUUAGCACAGGCUGCUGUUACACUGGUAAACGUGAAGCAAUUUGGAGUAAAACCUUCUGAUUCCAUUCUGGAGAAUAUAGAGAGGGACAGCUUGGAAUCCCACUUUUCAUAUCCUGAUAUUAGAGUAUUCCACGUGAUCAAAUCUUUUUCACUCAUUUGAUUGAAGCACUGGUUUGCCUCUGGUAAACAAACAAAUCUACAGUACAUAUCUAGUACAGAGUUCAUGACAGGAAGGUUAGAUUCAAACCCAUGUUUGAUCGCUGCCGCCUGUAUUUGUCUGCCACUGUUUUGCGAUCCGGUCGAAGCACAAGCUCUAACAGCAAUAGAAAGGCUGUAAGGGUUAAGCUCCGGUUUCUCCUGCGAGCCAAAUGCAAUAAAAAUACUUGAGGAAAAUAAAAUGAAACACAACGAGGCAGAAGUGAUCUUUUUGUAACAAUCCAAACUUACAUGCAACAUUUGUUUAAAAAUUCGGAGGGCACUAUGGGAACGUCCUCUGUGAGUGAAACCAGUAAUCAAGGUAGUCCAUGAGACGGCAUUCUUUUCUCUAAUAUGACGAAAAACCAAGCAAGCAUCUCUCAUGCUAGCACAACAAGUAGCAUACAUAUCCAUGAGCGAAUUGUCCACGUAAAUGAACCCUUCCAACCCACGCUUUAUGACCGAACCAUGAACUAAGCUGCCACGAGAAACAUCCUUCAUACCUUUACAAACCUUCAAAACGCUGGAAAAGGUGAAGGCAUUGGGCACAAUCCCAUUCUUAACCAUGUCGCAGAAAACCCUCCAAGCCCGCCAGUUUUGGCCGCGGGAAGCGUAGCCAGCGACCAUGGACGUCCAGGCGACAACGUCUCUGUCAGGCAUUUCGUCGAACAGGUCGUGAGCAUCGUCAACUGAGCCGUUUUCGAAGUAUGACUUGAUGAGGUUUGUGGCCAAUACUGAGGGACCCUUUGGUGCAAACACCGUAGGGUUGGCUUGGGUCCAUUGUAGGUAGUCAUCGGCGAACGUUGAUAGCGGUUGCGAGCGAAGCACCGAAAGUUGCCGUGGAUAUCGCAUAACUAGCGAACGAACAUGAUAAUGGUGAUGGCAAUGAAAUUCAGCUGUUUUUGUGCUGACCCCUCCCUGCCAUUGAAGAAAGAGAUGGCUGGCAACAAACGAAAAAAGGAAAUUUGGCCUCUUUGAGUCGCCGGGAGAAGACUGAUCGGCGGCCGGUUUAGUGACGACGGUUUAGGCAGGUUAGUUAAUCUAGUAAAAACACUAGGUUGAAGUCAAGGUUUAAGAAGUUGGACCAUAACAUGGGCCGGGCAUUUGCAGAUCUGCAGUCCAAUAGCAAAAGCCGCCGCCCAAAUAUGUGCCUUGUACGGUGACUGUCAAGUGUUUAUUAGGGAUGUUGGUCAGCCUGAUUUUGGAGUUGUGCGUCCUUAAUUGUUGUCACUGUUACUUUAGAUCAUAAUGUCUUUCGUUAAGCAAUCUCAUCUCUUUCAAGUAAAUCGGGUGGUCUGUUUAACGAAAAAGAUAUUCUUUUGUUAGGUUGGAUGACCUAUAUGUGAUCAUCAGUUUUCUCUUCGUACAUGUUUAUAUUAUCGUAACAAUUUUGUCAAUGUUGUAGCCUUCUUUCUUUUCUAUUAAUACGAGUUUAUAUAAUUGUCUCAAUCAAUGUCAUCUACUUAUUUAUAUAUAUAACAAAGACGAGAAUAAAAUAUUAUUUAGAAAAAAAAUUCAUCAAUAAAAAUUCACAAAUUGACAACCUUCCAAAUCUCGAAAUUUGUGAAAUAUUGAGCGAUGAUUUAACUCUACAUCAGUAAGCUCAGACCCAUCAAUUAAAUCUAAUUUUUCAUAUUUUAUGUGCUUUGUAAUGUUUAAACUAGAUAUUAAAUAAUUUUUUAUAUAAUCUUAUUUUUAAAAUGCACCUCGAAUCGAUAAGUUCGUCCAAUAAUGAAUCAUCUUUCUUACAAUGUGACCACUUAGGUCGGCUGUGGGUACAAAAUACAAACACAAAAUUUCAAGAUUUGAGCACAUGGAGAUGCAAUCAAUUCCCCCCAUCGUGACUUCACUUUGAAGCAAUGGGUGGCUGAAAACAUAAGAAUAAACGAACAUAGCAUUAUAUUAAAAUCGUAAAUAUCUUGUUAUGUAUGUCGGCACAACAAAACGGGGCCUCUUGUUCAUCGCAAAACAAAAAUGGGGCCUCUUAUCCAUCGACACGUUGGUUUCGAAUUCCCACCCAACUCUGCUUCUGCAGAUUAUGUGUAGUGUAUAUAUACAAACUCCAUGCUCUAAUUCUCUGGAAGUUUCACAUUCAAACUUGCAUCAGAUAAUCUGAUAUUUGAAUACUUAGUAUCAUCAUCUUCUUCUUCUUCUUCAUCAUGUCGAGGGGAACAGAUAACUUCAUAGGGAUAAUACUGGCGAUCCUGUUGCCGCCACUGGGAGUGUUCCUGAAGUUCGGGUGUGAGACGGAGUUCUGGAUCUGUUUGGUCCUCACCUUCCUUGGCUACAUCCCUGGCAUCGUCUACGCCGUCUACGUCAUCACUAAGUGAUCAAUGUCUGGUUUGUACCAGUGAUCAUUUGUUCUUUGUUUAUUUGCUGUCUGGUUCUGGCUUUUCUCUGUAUGUUUCUGGGAUUUGUAAUUCCUCCUUUACCCUUUCUUUUGUAAUUCUGUGCUAGUGUGUUGUAACUACUCAUAUUCCAAUUUUUCCAGUAAAGAGUCUCUGGUCUAUCCAAUGCACUCUGUCCAAGCCAAUUCUCUGCUUAAUCAACAGUUUUACAAGUACCAUUGUUCAAACUGUUUUACAAGGACCUAUUCACUUUGUCUCAGAUAUACCGACAUUUGGUUUGGCAGAGUUGGACGAUGACAGGAAAAUUCGUUCUCCAAAAUCACUUUUUCGAGAUCUAACUUUUACUUCCGGCAAAAAAAUAUGCAAAAAUAUUUCCAGGUAAAUUAGUGAAUCACAAAUGACUGAAUCUGGCAACAGGGUCUACAAAGAUAAAACGUGCUUGUAUAUCAAAACUGGACGAAGAACAGAGAACUUGGGGCUGAUUGGCUGACGUUGUAUUCGAGGACCGUACGAGGCCAACGAGGUCUAAGAGAAAACAGUGAUGCUAAAGGCAUGUGGUUCAAAGCUAAAGCGAAAGGUAUGAAGUUGAAGGAACCCCUUCUGAUGCCUUGGAAAUGUGCCACUGUCAUUGAAACCGUAAUAAGCCGUGGAUUCGAGUCGCCUUCAGCACCAAAAAGAUAAUUGGACUGCGAACUGGGUUGCGAAGUCUACUCGAGAUCACACUCUCCCGGUCAACUGGUUGAUAUAUUGUUGCGAUACAUCUCCCUUGUUCAAAAAUGAUUGGGAAAAACUUAAGAAGUUUUCACGCAGCACGCACAGCAGGCGGCACAGAUGACCAAAAUUUUCCCAUCAUUCUCAAGUUAGGAGGCAAAAGAUCAGAGACCAAAAUAUAUCUAGUUAAAUCUAAAAUAAGAGAGAUUCUGGCAAGCAAUACAAUUCCAAGAGUCUUGGUUCUUCAAGCAGAUAACAAAAUUCCAAGAGUUAAUACAACCCUUCUAAAUAUUAAGUAGUAGACUUUGACAAACCCAGGAAAACCCUUAAGAUUACUUCAGCUACAAAAUUCUCCAUUAGUACAGAAGAGACUAUAGCAGCAACCAUCAUUCAAUCCUAUUCUCUGCUUUUCUUCUUGUGGUUCAUGACUAGUUUCCCUCUUCUCUUCGCUACGAAGCUCCAUUGGUUGCAGCUGCAGCGUACAUGCCUGCAUCCUGGUUUGACGAUGCAUUGUAUCCAUAUCCACCACCGUAGCCUUGCCCACCAUUGUAGCCACCUCCACUCCACUGGUUUCCAUUAUCCCCUCUCCACUGUGAAAUCAAUGCAUAUCAGCGAAAAAAUACAAAAACACAAACCAAGGAACUUCCAAGAGGGAAGCAAAGUUGAGAUAAGCUGUGUUUAACAUCCAAUUAGAAGCACUAUUGUAAGGUCGAUCUUUGUUGGUGCUAAGCCAUCAGCAAGUAUCAAGUAUUUGAACUAAUUCACAUGUAACAGGAAUGGAUGCCACUUGAGCUUGCUACAGCCUUGACGGAAUAAUUGAUAAGCAUAAGCCACACACAUACAGAAAAGUUAAUGGAAUAAUACGUGAUUCAAGUAAUGCCAAUCUCCAUCCUGUCAAAAAU